GUGGUAGUUUUAGACUGCUACUGUAGUGGACUUACGAACCUCUGUUUCUUUCUUUUGGCAGGAAGAGAAGGAACAAAAGAUCCGUGAAUUGACUGCCGAGUUAGAGAGUAUAAAUCAACAAUCGGAAGUUUAUCGUGCCAAUCUAUUAGCAGUUUUGAAAGACAUGGAGGAGGAGAAACUAAAGCUAUCUGUGAAAGUGCAAAAUGCACGGCUUAGCUUAAAGGAGUAAAUCCUUUCAUUCAUUUUUCUUGUUUCAAAUGAUUGUGAAUUUAGUUCUCAUUUAUGAGAAGCAUGAAGAUGAAAUCUAGUGUGUGUUGGAUACUCCGAAAGUAGUAUAGUGCAUUUUGGAGAAGCUGAUACGGGUGCGGUAACAAUUUCUGAGAGUUCAAGCAGCAUAGAUUUCUAGUCCCUAUUGGAUCCUCUUCUGCUUUACCAGCCAUUCUUUGCAUAUGUCCAUCACUUCUUGCAACCUUUUCCAAGAUGAAAAUUUGAGAGUAUCCAUCCAAUCUAUUUCUUUCUACAUUGCUUUGACAUCUGAUUGUGAGCUAUGCAAAAUCUACUCAGAUAAUUUUUCAAUAGACUGAGCAUUUAGAAUCACUAAUAUCACACAUUGAAAAAUUAUCAAUCAUGUGAGGAAUAACUGAAAACAAAAAACUACAUCCAUCUUUCUAAUCAUAAUUAGUAAAGUUAAGUGUUAAAAAUACACUUAAAUUAUUACUCUCUCCGUUUCAAAAAGAGUGAUCUAGUUUGGAUUGACACGGAGUUUAAAAAAGUAAAGAAGAUUUUUGAAUCUUGUGGUCCUAAAUUAAAGUUUUGUCAAAUGUACAAAAUUGUCAUUUAAUCUUGUGGCCUUAAACAUGCUGAAAUUAAAAUGUUAUCGAAAAAAGAAAUAGGUCAUUCUUUUUUAAACAGACAAAAAAAAGAGGGAAUAUAUUUUUUUGAGUUUCAUACAUCAACUAUUGAGAGUGUGAGAAAUACACCUAACAUAUCACUCAUUAGUUUGAAAAACAUAUCUCAAUGUUGACUGACAUGAAUUUUUUUGUUCAUGUUUUUUUUACUUUUGCUUACAUGUGUUUUUAAAAGCAAAUUGUCAAAAGUAUGCCUAAAUCAUUUUUUUUCCGAGUUUCAUACCCUAAAUUAUCAUUCAUAAAUUUGAGAAACACACCUGAAGAAAUUACACUAUCUUUUUUUUUUUAAAAAAAACGGAACUUGUCACAUGAAAAAAAAAAUACUUCCUCCAUCUAACAAUAGUUGUCCACUAUAUUAUUUUGGAAUGUCCAACAUUACUUGUUCACUUUAUGAAAUCAAUGAAUAAUUUUACUCUUAGUUCCUAUUUACUUUUAUCAUUAAUUACAUUUUCAAGAUAUUGAACUCUCUCCAUUCUUUUUUAUGUCCUCCUUACUAUAAAUAGUUGGUUCAUAACACUUGUCAUUUCAUAAAAUCAAUGCAUAAAUUACAAUAUUCUUCCUAUUAUACCCUUGAUAGUUAAUUAGUUUUGAAAAAAUAUAUUUGACCAACCUAGGAAAAUUAAUAAGUAAUUAAUGUUCAUUGUAAUUACUUCAUACAUUGAUUAAUUACUAAUCAGUUACUCUCACCAUUGCAUUACUCUAUAAAAUUUGAUUUUGAAAAAGAAAUAUCAACAAACAAAUUAAAAAUAAAAGAUGAAUAUAUUUAUCGUUUAUUGAAAAGUUGACUUCAAAAAAACAUUAAAUAAGGGUAGAAUUGUAAACUUUCUUAAUUUUUUAAUGCAAGUGAAAUCUAAAAAGAAGACAUAUAAAAAGGAAUGAAGGGAGUAUUUAUUAUAUUUAAAGAGUGAUAUAGUAAAACUACGCUUCUAUCUAUAAUUUCUAAAGUGCAAAAUCAAUAAUGGGCAACUAUUGUUGGACAGAGGAAGUACAUCAUAAUACUUAUUUGGCUUAUACGGUGUACACCUAAACUAAAUUCCGUUUUAAUUACUCCCCUCCCCCCCCCGAACUUGUUUAUUCCUCCGUCGCGUACACCUUUUCGUCCACCUGGUGUAGAAAUUGACAACACACUCUACUAGGCGUGUGAGUAAGUGAUUUUUUGCCACAUCACAAAGCUACAAUGGUAAAAAAAAAUGUAAAAUCUCCAUUUGUCUUUAAUAUUUGGCAUAUUUUAAACGAAAAAUAGGGCAAAAUGUAAAUGAAAAGUAAAGGAAACAAAGAUUAACACUUACUUGGUAAGAAUUUCCGACAAAUUUUGAAAUUCAAGGAGUUCCGCGAAAUCAGCCCUUAUUCAAAAAUAACUUUUAAACAUUUGGUAUAUUUUAAACGAAAAAUAGGGCAAAAUGUAAAUGAAAAGUAAAGGAAACAAAGAUUAACACUUACUUGGUAAGAAUUCAGACAAAUUUGAAAUUUAAUCGACCAACUUCACGUCUAGAAAAACCCAAAUCCAGAAGGAGUUCCACGAAAUCAGCCCUUAUUCAAAAAUAACUUUUAAACAGUGAAUUUUAAAUUUAAGAAAUUUAUAUCUUGCAAUAUUAAUUUAUCUAGGUAGCUAUUAUUUAUCCAGGUGAAAAUCCACAUCACCACUUUUGCCAGCUGUCGCGCGUGUGUAGUCACAAUAGGAGCAGGUGGAUGAAAAAGGUGUACGCGACGGAGGAAUAAACAAAUUCGGGGGUAAUUAAAACGGAAUUUAGUUUAGAUGUACACCGUAUAAAAAGCUUCAAGUUCAGGGGAGUAAUGAGUACUUUUACCUAAUUCAUAUUACAUAAAAUUACUAAGUAUAAAAGAAAAAAAAUCAUCUAACAUCCGGAGUGUUUUUGGAUCACAAUCAAUAUAAUAAUGAAAGUUAACCAAAAUUGCAUCUAAAAUCUUCAAUAAAAAAUCUACACUUCUUAAACAUUCACUUUACAAUCUUCAAUUUACCAUAUAUGAAAAAGGGAUAAAAAUGGAAUACAUUUUUUUUCUCAUUUCAUCUCCAACUAACACCAUGAUAGCUUCUCAAAUUUCUUCUUCAUUUCAACCCUUCUUGAAAAUGAACAACAACCCACCAUCCACUAUCCCUUCCUCCACCAUGAAUCGUUUUCCACUUGAUAAUUCAUGUGAUGAUUUUGUUUCAAAAAAGAGAGAGAGUAAUACACGCAUAUCAGAUAUUAUUUGAGGUGCGUUUUUUUAAAUUUAUAAGUGACAGUUUAGAUGUGUUUCUCACAUUUUCAAUAGUUUAAUCUGUUUAGGUACGUUUUUGACACUUCACUUUUUAAAUUUUGAAUUUUUUUACAGUUCCAUGUAGCUACCAUAUUUUUUUUAAAAAAGGAGUGUAAUACACACACCAUCACUUAUUGAGGUGUGUUUUUCAAAUGUAUGAGUGAUAGUUUAUGUGUGUUUCUCACACUUCUAGUAAUUUAGAUGAAACUCAAAAAAAGAAAAAAAAUAGCUCAAAUAUGCCAUCGAACUUUGAGAAAAACACUCAUUUUAUGUCAUCCGUUAAAAGUUUGGCUCAUCUAUGCAUGGAUAAGCCUUUUCUCAAACGGAAACAACAUAAAUGAACCAAAUUUUUAACUGAUGACAUAGAUAAGUCAUUUCUCAAAAUUUGAUGACAUAUUUAACCAUUUUUCCAAAAGAAAUAUAACAAUUUAAAUAUAUUUUUGACACGCAACUAAUUACCCCUUCCAAUUUUCUAACCUUUGGCUGUUCUCUAUCCCUUCUGACUGUUAUAUCAUUUACUUCUUGCAAUUUAUUUCAUUAUAUUUUCAUUAUCAGGUUAAUGUAAUUCACGUGUUCUUAAACUUACGUAUAUGAAUUUAAUUGUACGUACCGUUGAAAGGGUAAACAUAUGGAUCCGGUCGUUUGGUUGGGAACAAGUUAUCUCAGGUUUAAUUAUUUUGGGAUUAGUUAUCCUAGGAUAACUUAUCCCACCAUGUAUAUGGGAUAACUUAUCCCAUCACUAUGGUAUAAAUGGUGGGAUAAGUUAUCCCAAACAUGACAACCAAACAAGACACCAAAAUUUUAUCCCGAGACUAUUUUUUUAUCCCAAGACUAUUUAUUCUUAUCCCUCACACCAAACGACUCAGUUUUCUAUCAUAUAUUUUUAUUACGAAAUUCAUGCAUCAACUAUCCAUUGUCUUCUUUGUCUUCCUAAAUUAUCACUCUCUUUGUAUUAAAACACACUCCAAUGUUGAGUUGAUGAAAUAUUUGUUGCCACUCAAUAAUAAGCGUAUGCAAGGUGUGCUUUAAUACAAAGAAAGUGAUAGUUAAGGUAUGAUAUUUAUAAACAAAUAUGAUAAUUUAAGUAUAGAUAAAUAGAACAAUGAAUAAUUAAGGUAUGAAACUCGAAAAAAAAAUAUCAACCAUCAGUGAAUAUGCACUUCUUACUAUGAAGUUUUGUGAAUAUAAAUAGAUGACUACUAUAUGCAAGCUAAGUGAUAGAAUAAAUUAAAUCAGCAAACACACAGACAAAUGCCACCUUUGAAAAUUGGUCUUAGUAAUGGUAGAAAAUACUCCCUUUUGAUUUUUGACCAAUCAUGUCAAUAAAAAUAAUAUUUAAAAAAAUAUAAAAUGAAAGUGAUGGUAAAAUUACUUUCUUUAUUUCAUUUUUACUUGUGACAGUUUGACUUGACACACUCAUUAAGAAAUAAUUAUUGAUAUAGAUAUUUACCAAACUAUCAUAUUAAAAAUGAUGUCUUGGAAAAUGAUUUGGAAAAUGAGUAUUAGAUGUUGAGGGUAAAACAUGAAUUUUUUUUUUGUCUUUUCUUGAUAUGUCAAAAGUGACAAGUAAAAAUCAAAAUCUAUUUUAAGAAUAAGUGACAGUAAAAGUGAAUGGAUGGAGUAUAAGACCACAUAUUACAAUUAAAAAAUAAAAUGAAGAAAAUAAAAAAAUUCAGGUUGAGGCGCGGAUAUCUCGUUCUCUUUAAGGAGAUUCAAGACCAUUGCAAUAAAUGUUUUUCAUCGGUUGGUCCAAUAGUAUUCCUCUUGAUUUGUCCCCUCCAGAAUACAACAACUUAAGUAUAACUCGCAACAAACUCUGGCCAAGACUUUAAUUGAAAGCUCCACAAAAAGAACACAACUCUUCAAUUAAUACGAACUCUAUUUUUUUUUUUGACUAAUUUUUAUGCAUUCUUUAUUUUCUUGUACUCAAAAACAAUGAAAGACCACUACUAUUUAUAGUUAAGAAAUUCUUCCCUACAAUGAGUAAGAAGACAACAGAGUACUCCCUCUGUCCCUAAUUACUUGUCAAUUUUUCCUUUUAUAGUUAUCUCUAAUUACUUGUCCAUUUUGACAAAUAAAGAAAAGACAAAUUUUUUUACCUAUUAUACCCUCAAUUAAUUACUUUGAAAAAGGUAGAACUUUUUUAAAAUCUUUAAUUAAAUUUUAAUUCAUCCACUUCAUAAUUAAUAGGGGUAAAAUAAUAAACUCACUAUGUCAAUAAUUAUUUUCUUAAUAGAUGUGUCAAUUGAAAAGUGGACAAGUAAUUAGGAACAUAGGGAGUAGUAAUUUGUGUCAAUUCAAAAGUGGACAAGUAAUUAGGGACAUAGAGAGUAGUAAAUAAAGAUAAUAAAUGAUUUAGAGGUUACAUAAGUUAUUCUUUUCCAUCAAGUAAUGAUUAAUUAAGCCCAACAAACAAAAGAUGAAAUGCACCAUAAAGGAAAAAUAGUAUACCCUCCAUCUCAUAUUAUAGAUAGGUACUUUCUAUUUUACACUAUAAUUAAGAAAUUAUUAAUAGAGUAAUUAACUUUACUAUUUUACCCUUUGUUCAUAUUAAUUAGCUUCUUGAAAAAAAUAGGAAAUUUUGAAUCUUCAAAAUUUGUUUAUACUUCCGAAGGCCAUAUUAAUUGUAAGGGUAAAAUGGGAAAAACCUGAUUAAUUUUAUCAUGAUUUAGUAAGUGAUCAAGUAAUACUAACAAAUAUUUUAAAUAAAAUGUACAUCUCAGACAAUGCAUAUGAUGCAUCUUUUUAUUAAGGCUUAAGUCAUCGAUAGCCCCUUAAAGUUGUCCACAUAAUUCACUUAGACACCUUAAUUAGAACGUGUACCUAUUGAACACCUCUACCCUCCCGAAUUUGAACCAUCUGAACAUUUUUUGCCUACAUGGCACAUUGUUUGUGAUUCACCCAAAAUAGGCGCGUGGGAGGUCUUUAGUUAGGCAUUUUUUUGUGGAAAAAAUGUUCUUUCUUCUUCCUCCCCUCUUUGCCGAUCACUUCCUCAAUCACACUAGUUCACUGCCGCCAUUCAUCAAUCUUCUUCCUCGUUUUUUCUCCGAAUACUUUACUUCUUCCUUCAUCAUUGUUUUUUAUUUCUCCAUUGCCAUCAUACUAGGAUUGGCGGUACAUACCUUCAUUGCCGCCAUGACAGCCACCACCAUUAUCGUCAUUGAAUUUGUAGAGGCUUGAAGUUUGGAAUUUUUUCUUUGUUGUUAAUAUAGUGUUUUGGUAUUAUAUUGAUGUAGAUUUGUGUGAAUUUUGUUAACAGAUUUUCCUAUUUAUUUUUUGCUUUAAAUUGAUAUAUAUUUGUGUGAAUGUAAGGGUGUUCUUCAAUCGAAAAAAAGAUGAUCAACUAUAGAACUCAAAACGAAAUCCGACAUAACUCAAUUUUUUCUGACAAUGUUCAUUGGAACUGAUUAAUUUUCCGGCGACUUUCUAUCAAAAAUGGAACGAAGAAGACAAUUAAUUUUUUUUUAUUACCUAUGGCCAACUCUUCCACAACUCAUCAAAAAUAGCAAUAAAUUUUCAUUCUUUUGCUUGAAUCUAUGUUGCAGAUGAACCAAGAAGGUUCAAAAAUAGCAUAUUUACAAUAAAUAAUAAUAAUAUAUAUAAAUAUAUUGAACUAAAUAUUUUACAUAAAAAUAUACAAAGUGUAGCUGUUGAGAUUCAAACUCGCAAAGUCUAACAAGCGGCGAACCACAUGAACUAUGCCCCUAUUUGUGAUAAGUAGUGUCACUCUAUUACAUUGAACCAAUUUUCUGAUUUUGUAUUUAAUAAAAAUUUCCAAUCAAGCAAUGUCCCGUGACACCCCUUAACAUAAGGUAAAUCUGCCCUUGCUAGAGGUGAAUCUAAUACACACCGAUCAAUAAUUUUUGAAGAACUCACUCGAUAUAGAAAUGAACAACAAACACAUGAUAUUUUCAUUCCAAGCAUAAUGCAUAAACAUGACUCUUAACUUGGCGUCAAUUGGCAACUAUGACCUUUAACUUUGGGUGUGCACAAGUAGGCACUUAAAAAUUGAGCAAAUGGACACAUUCGUCCAACAUGGCACCCUACAUGGCAAUUUUGUAUCCUACAUGGUGUCCUACGUGUAUUGGGCUAUGUAGGACACUUGUGUCUACUUGUUCAAUUUUAUAUAAGUUUAAAUGUCUAUUUGUACACAUUCAAAGUUGGAGGGCAUAGUUAUUCACUGAAGCCAAGUUCAGGGUCAUGUUUGUGUAUUAUGCCUUCAUUCCAUCCAUAUAGCUCAUAGCACCCCGUUGUUGGUUAGAUUAGGCCCCAACCUGACUCAUCUUUGAAUAGAAUUGUCCUAAAAUAUCUUUUUUGAUUUCAUGUGAGCCUUUAAUUUCAAUUGAUGGGGUAUAUAUUUAUGACAGAUGCAGAGAGAUAUGAACAACAUUAAUUUUGUUGCUUGACACCUAGUCCUAUGAAUAAUUUUAUCUUUUUUUGUGGUUUUUUUUUAUAGCUGGGAAAUUAAUAUGUUAAUCAAAGUAUAUAUCUCCACAUGUAGGGGUAUUUAUAAUUGGGUGAAAAUCAUCUUAUAUGCUCGAAAUUUAUUUUAGAUCAAAUUUCUCCUUUCAAUUUUGAGAAAUAAUCAUUUCCCCCCUUCAAAUUGGCUUUUUAAAAAUAUCUAAGCUGCUGAAGCAAGUAAUAAAAUAUAAUGUGAUAACCUUAUAAACAUAUUUUGAAGCAAGUAAUAAAAAAUAAUUAACAAAAAUCAAGAUAUUUCAAAAUAAUUUCUUAAAAGAUUAUCUAUUAAUAUUAUAAAUAAUUUUAAAUUAUAAUUUAAGAAAUAUUUCAUUAAUGACAAUAAAAAUAGUUUAUCUAUAUAGGUAAUAGAGAAUAAGAUAUAUACAUGAAUACAUAGACGUGCCUUUUUAACUUGGCUUUAACUGUCAUCUAUACUCUUUAACUUUGGGUGUGUACUAGUAUACAUUUCAUUUUUUAUAAAAUUGAACAUGUAUAUGCACGCGUUCUACAUGACAAUUUGCCUAAGAUACACUUGAAUUGAGUGUAUUAUGUCAUAUAGAAAAUAUAUAUAACUAUAUUGAACUAAAUAUUUUACUUAAAAAUAUACAAAGUGUAGUUGCUGGGAUUCAAACUCGCAAAGUCUAACAAGCGCCGAACCACUAGAACUAUGCCCCUAUUUGUGAUAAGUAGUGUCAGUCUAUUAUAUUUAACUAAUUUUCUGAUUUUGUUUUUCAAUUCGGUAAAAGUAUUUAAUAAAAAUUUCCGAUCAAGCAGUGUCCGGUGACACCCCUUAACAUAAGGUAAAUCCGUCCCUGCUAGAGGUGAAUCUAAUGCACAUCAAUCGAUAAUUUUCAAAGAACUCACUCAAUAGAGAAAUGAACAACAAACACGUGAUAUUUUCAUUCCAUCCGUAUAGCUCAUAGAACCCCUUUGUUGGUUGGAUUAGGUCCCAACCUGACUCAACUUGGAAUAGAAUGGUCCUAAAAUAUCUUUUUGAUUUCACAUGAACCUUUAAUUUCUAUUGAUUUUGAAUAGAAUGGUCUUACACAAGAAAAAAUUUAAAAUACAUGAGGUAUAACCAGUACAAGUUGUAUGAGGGUAUUAUUUUAUUAGUUUAUAUUCUAACCUAGGAAUCCGUGUUCUAUUUUUCUUCUUUGCCUUUGAUUUCUCUUUCAUGCCCUUCUUUUUCCUCUUUUUUCUUCUUCUUAUUUUCUGUUUUUUCCCCCUAAUUCUAUUUUGAAAUUAAUUUAAUCACUGGUGUAUAUGAAAAAAUAAUUUAUUUUUUUACUUAUUUAUUUUAACAAAUUUUUUUUAAAAAAAUUAUCAUAUUUAUCAUCAAAUAACCACAUAGGUAUCAAUAGUCAAAUUAAAAAAAAUUAAAAUAUAAUUAAUAAGACUUGUUUAGUAAAAUGAAUCUUUAACACAAAUACAAUUCAAGCUAUAUAUAAAAUUUAUACAAAAAAUAGUGAAACAAUUGUUAUUAAAAUUGCACAUUAAAAAUUAAGAGGUUAUGAGCAUAGAAAACAUGAUUAUGGUUAUUAUUAUUUGGCAUUUGGCUCUAGAAUUCAAUCAUAUAUUUUUUACUAUAUUUGAAAUAAAUAGAAUUAUAGUUGAACAUAGAGUCAUGUAUUAUUUUUGCAAAACAAAAUAUUCGAAAUGAUAUUCAUGUUUGAAUGUACUUAAGUACUAUUUUAAAAAUGAAAAGUGAGUUAAAAAAUCAGAUUAUACUAACAUGUUUUCCAAAUUUGAAAUAUAUAUUCGAGUUGAAAAAGUUGUAUUCACAUUUUCAUUAUCAAACAUCAAUUUUCAAAUUAAGUGAAAAAAUAUUAUUUUUUAAGAAAUAAUUCUUAUGUUUGAAUGAGUCCCAAAAUUAGAAGUUAAAAAAAAUAUGAAAUAUGAAGAUAAUUUUUUUAAAGUAUGAUAAAUGAAAAAUGAGAGAAAAAAUAAUAAUUUUAGUUGUCAAUUUUCAUGACAUAAGUGACAAUUCAAAGAAUUAACUUGAAUUUUUUUAUACUCUUAACCCUUAAUUAUUUAAAUAAAAAUAAGAAUUUUUUUUAAAAUUAAUUAUUUUCAUAUAUAUAAACUAAGGGAAUAAUUAUAUUGGUUUAAAAAAGAUUUAGAAAAAAACAUAAAAUGAGAAAAGAGAGGAAAGAGAAAUAAAAGGCAAAGAAGAAAAAUAUAAUGUGGAUCCCAUGAAUCAGAAUAUAAAUCAAUAAAAUAAUGUUCUCAUACAACUAAUACUAGUUGUCCUUCAUCCAUAAUAAAUUCGUCGUUCAAGAGAUGUACUUCCUCCGUCUCUUUUUAAUUAUCUUUUUAACAUUAAAAAAAUUGUCUCAAAAUAAUUAUCACUUUAGAAAUUAAAAAUUAAAGUUAAUAAUUAUGUUAAUGAUAUCCUUUAGCAUUAAAGAAAUUAUUCUUUUUAACACUGGUCAUCUUUCAAGUAUAAGAAGUAGAAAUAAAGUAAUAACUACACCUCGUAACUUGUAUUUGUUAUAUAUUUUUUUUUUUAAUGAACGCGAAAAACAAGAGCAAAAACUAUGCCUACAAAUUAAUAAGAGGGAGUUGAGGUGAAGCAAGAUGUGUUUUCGUCGCCGUGUCUGUUUUAUGUGUUUGUGCCUCAAUUUUCUUUUUGUUUCUCUAAAAAAAUAGGUUUUUUCUUUUUUAGAAAAAAUAAAUAAUUAGGGUAUAAUUUCUGAACCCAUUUAGUGGUGUUUUUAAUUUUUCAAUUCAUAUCUUUUAAUUAUAACUUUAUUACUUCGAUUGUUGUUGAUAUUUGUGUGAAUUUUUGCAACUUCUUAGAGUAAGAAAACAAGAAUAAUACUUUAAUUUAUGGAUAUCCCAAUGAGCCUCCUCACAUUAGGCUUUCGAUAAAAAAAUAAUGAGAUAAUUUACAAUCACGCAAAUGUAUAUAAUUUAUUAUAAAAACAAAAAAAUUUAACCAUUGAAAUAACACGAUUUAAAAUUAAUCAAUAUUAAUAAUAUUUAUCAAGAAUUUAUUGUACACAUAAUAAUAUAAUUUACUACCACACAAAUAUAUAUAACUUAUUUUAAAUGAAAAACAUUAAUUUACUUUUAAAAAAUUAUAAAUAAAUAUUGGAUCCGUACAUCACAUGAAUUUCCCCUUACUAGUUUAUUACAAUAUAAAGAAGUAGGUUGCCAAAGGUGGACCUUAUCUUUGCCAUUAAAAUAAUGGUAACUCAACUCUAUAAAUAGCCUAGAAUGAUGUAAAUCUUCUUGUACUCCACUAUAUUUUCCCUAUUAGUAAGCAAUACUCUUGAUCCCUAGCUCAUUUUAUAGUUCCAAAGGCAUGGGUCUUAAGUCCAAAUUGUGUGCCCAAAUAGAAGUGAAGGCUAAGAAUGAUGUGUUUCAUGAUGCCUUUAGGCACAAACCACACCAUGUCUCCACCAUGUGUCCUGUCCAUAUACAAGGUUGUGACCGUCUUGAAGGAGACUUUGGAACUGUUGGCUCCAAAAUUUGUUGGAAGUAUACCCAUGGUAAGCCCAAUUUUGUCAAAAUUAUUAAGAAUUUUGAUUUUUUGAAAAAUUUACAGACAAAUUUAAGGUUUUUCAUACGUUAAUAUACUAAGCCUAUACUUAAUUAAGCAAGGAUGAUGACCGUGUUGGGCCGGGAUCAAACUUUAAGAGACAAACACUAUCGUCUCUUUAUUAAGAUCUAUCAUGUAUAAUUAUUAAGAAUGUUAAAAACCUUAGAAAAUCACUAUUAAUAUAGAUCAAUCUUUUAAUGAUAGCAACAAAAUUCAUACAAUUAUUUCUUUACAAUAUAUGUGCAAGUCCAUAAAAAAUUCUAACAGAUCGUCCGUUUAAUUUACUACAAGUGUAUAACUUGCCUCGUCAUUGUGUUACUAAUUUAAAAUGACAAUCGUAUUAAUUUACUACUAUUUAUGAGUUUGAUGUACGUAACGAAAUUUUGUAUAAUCCAGAUGGGAAAGAGAAGUUUUCGAAGCAGAUAAUUGAAGCUAUAGAUGAAGAGAAAAAGAUAAUCACAUUCAAGGAAUUUGAAGGAGAUAUAGUGAAUGAAUAUGAGAAUUGGAAGGUAAGUCUCCAUGUUGAUGAAGAAGGUGAAAAGGAUUUAGUCAGUUGGACUAUGGAAUAUGAAAGGCCAAAUGAGAAUGUCCCUGAGCUAACAAAUUUGCUUCAAUUUUUCAUUGAUAUGACCAAAUCUAUUGAUGAUCACCAUGUCAACAAGCCAAAUUGAUAAUAUAAAUUAGAACUAUAUGAGUUUGUGCUUUAAUUAAAUAAACACUUGACAUUAUGUUAUAAAAUAUAAUAUAUAUAUAUAUAUAUAUAUAAUAUGAGAGAAUGUCAAGUAAUUUGUGUUUUAUUUCUUUUCUAAGUAAUAAUAAAGACAUUUUAGUUUUGCGCACACAUUUUCUAUAUGUUCUCACUCUACUUAAAGAGAAAUUUUAAUUUUGAAUUGGUUACUUGUGAGUAUAUUUUGGUAGUCUGAUGAAGUUGAGAAGAAAUGACAAAAUACAAAUUGAUUUUGGUUAAUUGUUGACAUAAUUGUAUUCGUCGAUGCAAAUUGUAUUCUUUAAUAUAUUUGAUACAAUUGAUUUGCAUCAACAAAUUGAAUACAAUAGUCUUUGAUACAACUGUAUUCAUUGAUACAAAUCAAUUGUAUUCGUGAUACAAUUAUCAGAUAUACAAAUCAAGUGUAUCUCUCUCCUAGAUUCCGCUCGUCUCUCUCCUCCCUCUUCAAUCUUGCUCGAUUCUCUCUUCCUUCUAACAUGUAGUUAUGAAUCGUAAUUAGACAAACUAUAGUUAAGAGACUUGAUUAUAUUUCUAGUAUUAAUUAUUUUUUAAAGGAAAAAUAGAUAAAUAUACCCUCGAACUAUCGUAAAUGGUAUGCAGAUACCCUCCACCAUACUUUUGGGACAUUGGUGCCCCUGCCGUCAAAAAACUAGAGCAAAUAUACAAUUUAUACUAACGGACAUACAUGUGUCAUAAUCUUAUCCACCAACCCAACAUUUAUUAAAUAUUGGAUCAACGGAUAAGAUUGUGUCACGCGUCCCUAUUUAGUCUUCUGUUAGAGUGAAGAGCAUAUAUGCUCUAGUUUUUGGACGGCAAGGACACCAAUGUCCCAAAAGUUUGACGGAGGAUAUCUGCAUACCAUUUACGAUAGCUUGAGGAUAUAUUUAUCCUUUUUUAAAAUUUCCUCAUAAUAAAUAAGUCGGUCAAUAACUCGCCUAAACUCAGAUUGGGUCAAUCUUGCUUUCAUGGACUAGGUUUGUCCUCUACUUAAAACAUUGUUUUUAAGUAACUCGGACACAAGAUAUCAGAAUAUAAUUCUAGAGUACAAAAAGAAAAAUUAUAAUUUCAACCCAUUUUAAUUGAUUAUUUGGGAGAACUCUAUAAUUCCUUGAAUAUUUAGAAUAGAGUUAAUCGUUAUAAAGAUCUAUUAGUAAAUCUGUGUAAACAAUAGAUAAGUAUAAAAAUAAACAGACCAAAGUUAAUUUGAUAGUGAAGUAAUUAAUUAAGUAUUACCAUGACCCUCCUCUAGUGAAUUGUUGUAACGAUCUGUUUCUGUCGUUAUUAAAAAUUUACUUAAAAAUACCAUUUUACUCCUCCCGAUAUUGGUUCCGAGUCACUUUUGAUGAGUUUUGAAAUUUGUUUCGAGUUUUGAAUUAAAAGUUGUGAAUUAUGGGAAUUUGAAAUGUUAAAGUUGUUAAAAAGUGAUUUUAAGUGUCUUUUGGAGUUUCGGGUGUCGGAAUGGAAUUCCGUCGAUUCCAUCAAUUUCGGAAUGUGAAAUUUUGCGUAAGGGAGUUGUCAGUUUCAGAUUCGGAGUCUUUUUGAGGAUUUGAGGUCCUAAGUUGGAAAUUGUUGAGAUUUUAGCCUUUGGGUUGACUUUGGUCAAUAUUCGGGGUUUGAGUUCUCGGAUCAGAAUUUCGAAAGUUUUGUUGGAUUCAGGGGAUGAUUUUACACCUAGAGGAGGUCUUGAUUGAAUUUUUGAAGGCCCCAAGCUUGCUUUUGCCUUUUUAGGUGUUAUGUUCGUUUUUGGUGACUUUCACGGAUAUCUGGAAUAUCGAUUUUAGUCAAAUUACAUAUAUGAUUUGUGUGUACGGGGUUCUGAACAAAUCUCGAGGGUCCUUUUGAUGAUUUGAAAGUCGUUGGUAUUUCUGAUGCUGGUAGGCCUUGCUUUCGCGAAGGUUACCUCGUGAUCGCAAGGUUCGCGUUAGCGAGACCCUGGUCGCAAAAGCAAAGGGCCCUUUUUGGCGGGGUUCGCUUAAGCAAACCAUGGGUCUCGACCGUGAGGGUCACGAAAGUGAACCCUGGUUCGCGAGAGUGAGACUCCAUUUGUUUAGGGGUUCGCUUAAGUGACAUCAAAGAGGAUUUAUGCCUCCCAUUUCGGAGUUUUACCCCCCAUUUUCUCUCAUCUGGAGUUUUGAAAAAUCCUUGGAGGCGAUAUUGAAGAGAUUUUCGGUGUUAAAUCAUUUGGGUAAGCCUUUGUGACUCUAAAACUUCAAUUCCUUUUAGAUAUAUGUGGAUUUUAACAUCAAAACUUGGGAUUUUGAUGGGCAAAUGACAAGGUUAUUCAAGAACUUUAGUUCUAAAGUAAAAUGGUGAUUUUGAACUGAUUUUAAUUUUUUUUUUUCGAAAUGAUUUUCACCAAUGAGUUCCAAAUGUCUUGCGAAACAUUUUCAAGUAAAGAUUUUCGAAUUCAAACCUCAUUUUCAGUAUUGGGUUUUUGAGUUGAUUUGACCCAUUUUUCAAAAUAAAUUAUUUGGGUGUUGUUAUUUCCGGAAUCUUACUGUAGUUACUUGAUUGAAUUAGAUUGUGUGGCAUUGGACAUUGUUCGAAAAAGAAAAGGCUCAAGUCUUAAAGUGACUUUUGAUUGAAUUGAGGCAAGUGAUUUCUAAACCUUGUAAAACUAGUAGAAUCGUGUAUUUCCCUUCACUGUGGUGUUGCGGAGUAAUGGAAAUAAGGUGAUGGGUUCAAUUAUUUCACUUGAUUGAUAUUGUAACACCCCAGAAAAUUUUUGAGCUUAGACUUGAACCAUCCUUUGUUGUGAGUAGGAUUUUACCGAAGAAUUAAAAUUUCUUAAAUUGUUAAGUUCACUAGAUGUAGCACCUUGAGUUCGAAAAAGAACUAAAUUGGAAAUAGCAAAAUCUGAAAGUUUGCAAGUUAUGCUUAAGUAUGAGUUUUGGGUCAACUUCAAACAACCAUAACUUUUAGUACAGAAGGAUUUAGGAGACCCUUAAGAUAUUAAAUUAAAUCCCUUCGAGUUAUCUUUCCAACGCCACCGAGUUUGCUCAAUUCCGAGCUCUAAUUAAGAAGUUAUGACUGAUUUACUAACAUCGCGCAAACCUGGCAGUAGCUCCGCGACGCGGAGCCAAUACGGACCUCACUGCCUGGUGGAAAAUAAUUCCGACUCCCAGCUAGUUUUAAUUAUUUCUUUAGGGGUAUUUUAGUCCUAAAAACCCUUAGAAGGUCAUCUAAAUUGCCCUAAAACGAGUAGAAAAUCAGUUUUCUUAAAUCUAAAACUCUCUCAUUCACUCCAAAGAUUCUACGCUCAAGAAAUUCAAGAAACGCUAAGGCUAGGGUUCAUCUUUCAAAGGUUUUCCUUCAAGUUGCUUCAAGAGGAUAAUUCUUUCAGGUAUGUAAGCUUCCAUAGUGUUGGGUUUGUUCACCCACACGCCAAUCAUGUUAAUUUCAGCUUUAAAUUCGUUCUAAAAGAUGAAGCUUUGAUAUUCUUGUUAUGUAUUCAUGAAUUUGUUUCCAUUCUUGAAUUGGGUUGAGAUUGAGGAGUUCUUGAGGUUAAUGUGUCGAUUUAUAGAGUGGUUAGAGUUAGAUUCUAGUGUACAUGUGUUGGGGUAAUCUAAAAUCUAAAGAGAGAUUGCGAAAAAUAUUCGAAUUUAGGCGAAUUGGGGCUGUAAAACGGAGAAGGAAAAGUCGAGCGUGAUCUGGCACGCAAGUCCGCGUUGCGAACUUGCUCCCCCAGUGACCAAAAAGUUUCUCCGUGUCGCGGGUAAGACGCGGACUCCUCUGUCUCAAAAUUUAAUUUCACUAGUAUUAUUUGAAACCAUCUCCGCGUCGCGGACUUGUUCCAAGACGGUGAUUUCGUGACUUUUCUCAUGUUUAGCUAUCAACAAUCAUUCCUAAACAUCAUGAGACCUUUACUAUCACAAGUCUCAACCUUGAAUCCAUAAUUCAAAUUCAAGGUAGAGUUAAGAGUUANNNNNNNNNNNNNNNNNNNNNNNNNNNNNNNNNNNNNNNNNNNNNNNNNNNNNNNNNNNNNNNNNNNNNNNNNNNNNNNNNNNNNNNNNNNNNNNNNNNNNNNNNNNNNNNNNNNNNNNNNNNNNNNNNNNNNNNNNNNNNNNNNNNNNNNNNNNNNNNNNNNNNNNNNNNNNNNNNNNNNNNNNNNNNNNNNNNNNNNNNNNNNNNNNNNNNNNNNNNNNNNNNNNNNNNNNNNNNNNNNNNNNNNNNNNNNNNNNNNNNNNNNNNNNNNNNNNNNNNNNNNNNNNNNNNNNNNNNNNNNNNNNNNNNNNNNNNNNNNNNNNNNNNNNNNNNNNNNNNNNNNNNNNNNNNNNNNNNNNNNNNNNNNNNNNNNNNNNNNNNNNNNNNNNNNNNNNNNNNNNNNNNNNNNNNNNNNNNNNNNNNNNNNNNNNNNNNNNNNNNNNNNNNNNNNNNNNNNNNNNNNNNNNNNNNNNNNNNNNNNNNNNNNNNNNNNNNNNNNNNNNNNNNAUUCCUAAUCAUGGGACUAUUACAUGUUACCCAUGAAGUCCUUGAGUUGGGUUAUACAUGUCCAUAGUUCUGCAUGAACCCUAUAAGUCGAACAGUCUUGAGAAGAGUAGUAACAUUGAAGUUCUUGAGUUCCAAGUAUUGAGUUCUAUAUAUGGUUAUUUAAAACCUUNNNNNNNNNNNNNNNNNNNNNNNNNNNNNNNNNNNNNNNNNNNNNNNNNNNNNNNNNNNNNNNNNNNNNNNNNNNNNNNNNNNNNNNNNNNNNNNNNNNNNNNNNNNNNNNNNNNNNNNNNNNNNNNNNNNNNNNNNNNNNNNNNNNNNNNNNNNNNNNNNNNNNNNNNNNNNNNNNNNNNNNNNNNNNNNNNNNNNNNNNNNNNNNNNNNNNNNNNNNNNNNNNNNNNNNNNNNNNNNNNNNNNNNNNNNNNNNNNNNNNNNNNNNNNNNNNNNNNNNNNNNNNNNNNNNNNNNNNNNNNNNNNNNNNNNNNNNNNNNNNNNNNNNNNNNNNNNNNNNNNNNNNNNNNNNNNNNNNNNNNNNNNNNNNNNNNNNNNNNNNNNNNNNNNNNNNNNNNNNNNNNNNNNNNNNNNNNNNNNNNNNNNNNNNNNNNNNNNNNNNNNNNNNNNNNNNNNNNNNNNNNNNNNNNNNNNNNNNNNNNNNNNNNNNNNNNNNNNNNNNNNNNNNNNNNNNNNNNNNNNNNNNNNNNNNNNNNNNNNNNNNNNNNNNNNNNNNNNNNNNNNNNNNNNNNNNNNNNNNNNNNNNNNNNNNNNNNNNNNNNAUUGCAUCUCUUAUUGUUGCUUUAUAUUGAGUUAAGUAUCCAGAGUUGAGUAUCUUGAGUUGAGUUUCUCUGAGUUGAGUAUCUUAUCCUUGAAUACUUCUGAGUUGAGUAAGUUUGAGUAGUUUUGAGUAUUCCUUGAGUUGAGAAAGUUUUGAGAAGAGGUAAGUAUGUUUCCUUUUUAUCAAGUUUCAAGCUUAUGUUUAUGUUUUAGAAUUCCCCUUACAUGCUUGUACAUUCCACGUACUGAGCCAUUUGGCCUGCAUCUUCUCAUGAUGCAGACACAGGUAUUCAGGAUCAUCAACAGGAGCUUCGUUGAUACAUCCGAGAGUUCGAGUUAGCUAUGGUGAACCUACUUGUUUAUGGAGGAUUUCAUUUACUUUUCAGUUUAGUCAGGAUGUCGUGGGUCUUGUCCCAACUUCCAUCUUUAUCAGUUAGAGGCUUCAUAGAUAGUCAGUAUAGUUGAGAAGUCUGUAUUAUUCAUUUAUUUUAUUAAAUGUUUUAAAGACUUAAGUUGCCUAUUUUGUGGCGAGUUGAAUAUAUUAUUUUAUUCAGAGUUUUUCAUUUGAGUUAAACCUUUGUAUUUCAGUUUCAUGAAUUUUAUUCAGUUUUUAAGCUUUGUAUGCUUGAGUUAGUCUUCCGCUUGUAGUCAGCCAGGAUGAGGGUUCGCUUGGGGACCAGCAAUGGUCUUCGAGUGCCGACCACGUCCAGGGUGUAGGGUCGGGUCGUGACAGAUAUUAAUGACUAAAAUAAGGGGAUUAAUGAAAAAGGCAACGUGUUGAUAGUUGUGAUUUGUGAAUUGCCUUGUUGUGGUCCCUAAUUUGUUGAUUGAUGAAAUGUUUUGAUGGCAUUAUUGUGGACUUGAAUUGAUUGAGUUAAUGUCUCUUUCUUAUGGUGUGGAAUUGCUUAUUUGCAUUGAUUUCUUUGUACCGUGAUGAGACAUGUGAUGAUUAUGUUGAGGGAAAUGGUUCAUGUAAGUGUUUUGAUAUAAAGCCGAAGAUAAAUGGUUCCGACUAGUAAUAUUGUGCUGAAGGGAAAUGAUUUUGGCAAGUGAUAUGAUAUAAAGCCGAAGGAAAAUGGUUUCGGCUAGUGAUAUUGUGCCGAAGGGAAAUUACUCCGAUAAGUGAUACUAUAAAAAGUCAAUAGGAAAUGAUUCCGGCUAGUGAUAUUGUGGCGAUGAAAAAUGGUUCUGGCAAGUGUUUGAUUAUUGUGAUUUGAUGAGCUUGAUACUUGUGAUUGGUCUACUUGAUACUUGUGAUUGAUGUACUUGACAUUUGUGAUUGACAUACUUGAUACUUAGUAGUUGUUAAUUGUGACUGUUGGACUAUGAUUGUUAAGCCUUGUGAGCUGUGUAUUGUAAGCUAUUAGGUUGAGCUGAUUUCUAUGCAGGUUGUAGUUUGAGGAGGUUUGGUUGGGAUGAAAGGAGUACUUGUAUUAUAUUCUAGCCUAAUUUUGCUUUCUUUAGUAGGUUGUUUGUUGAGUACCGUGUUGUUUGGUACUCACUCCUUGCUUCUACACUUGUGUAGGUUUCGUGUGAUUGCUUUUCUUCUAUUUUCAAGGCUUUCGAAGGACUUUGAGAGGUAGUUGCUUGUCAUCCCGGGCAGCCCUCUUAUUCCUUAUUUUAUGCAUUGUUCUAUAUUCCAGAGACAAAGGUAUUGAGCGUUGUACUUAUCUUUCAAUUAUGUAUUUAUAUUAGUGGCAUGUGCAUGUGACAACCAGAUUUUGAAAUUAAAUUAGAAUGACUAAAUUUUCCACUCUUCUGUUAUUCUUCUUUUAUUUUCCACAUCUCUUUCGUGUUGUUGGGUUGAGAUUGACUUGUCUUGAUGGAAAUAAACGAGUGCCAUCACUUGCAUUUUUGGGUCGUAACAUGCAAAUGGACCAUCUAAUAUGUAUUUCCUCAAAGCUGUCCACUUGAAUUUUUCAGAAAAAAAUAAAUAAGAAUAGUCCUAAAAUAUCUUCUUGAUUACAUAUGAGCCUUUAAUUUCAAUUGAUGGGGUAUAUAUUUAUGACAUUACUAUAUAAGAAGAGUGAAUAAAAUUCACUCUUCUUUCGACACGUGGCACCAUGGCCCACCUACUUUUAUUUUAUUUAAAUCAUAUAUCAUAUAUAUUACUAUAUAUAAUAAUAUAUUAUUACUAUAUAAGAAGAGCGAAUAAAAUUCACUCUUCUUUCGACACGUGGCACCAUGGCCCACCUACUUUUAUUUUAUUUAAAUCAUAUAUCAUAUAUAUUACUAUAUAUAAUAAUAUAUUAUUACUAUAUAAGAAGAGCGAAUAAAAUUCACUCUUCUUUCGACACGUGGCACCAUGGCCCACCUACUUUUAUUUUAUUUAAAUCAUAUAUCAUAUAUAUUACUAUAUAUAAUAAUAUAUUAUUACUAUAUAAGAAGAGCGAAUAAAAUUCACUCUUCUUUCGACACGUGGCACCAUGGCCCACCUACUUUUAUUUUAUUUAAAUCAUAUAUCAUAUAUAUUACUAUAUAUAAUAAUAUAUUAUUACUAUAUAAGAAGAGCGAAUAAAAUUCACUCUUCUUUCGACACGUGGCACCAUGGCCCACCUACUUUUAUUUUAUUUAAAUCAUAUAUCAUAUAUAUUACUAUAUAUAAUAAUAUAUUAUUACUAUAUAAGAAGAGCGAAUAAAAUUCACUCUUCUUUCGACACGUGGCACCAUGGCCCACCUACUUUUAUUUUAUUUAAAUCAUAUAUCAUAUAUAUUACUAUAUAUAAUAAUAUAUUAUUACUAUAUAAGAAGAGCGAAUAAAAUUCACUCUUCUUUCGACACGUGGCACCAUGGCCCACCUACUUUUAUUUUAUUUAAAUCAUAUAUCAUAUAUAUUACUAUAUAUAAUAAUAUAUUAUUACUAUAUAAGAAGAGCGAAUAAAAUUCACUCUUCUUUCGACACGUGGCACCAUGGCCCACCUACUUUUAUUUUAUUUAAAUCAUAUAUCAUAUAUAUUACUAUAUAUAAUAAUAUAUUAUUACUAUAUAAGAAGAGCGAAUAAAAUUCACUCUUCUUUCGACACGUGGCACCAUGGCCCACCUACUUUUAUUUUAUUUAAAUCAUAUAUCAUAUAUAUUACUAUAUAUAAUAAUAUAUUAUUACUAUAUAAGAAGAGCGAAUAAAAUUCACUCUUCUUUCGACACGUGGCACCAUGGCCCACCUACUUUUAUUUUAUUUAAAUCAUAUAUCAUAUAUAUUACUAUAUAUAAUAAUAUAUUAUUACUAUAUAAGAAGAGCGAAUAAAAUUCACUCUUCUUUCGACACGUGGCACCAUGGCCCACCUACUUUUAUUUUAUUUAAAUCAUAUAUCAUAUAUAUUACUAUAUAUAAUAAUAUAUUAUUACUAUAUAAGAAGAGCGAAUAAAAUUCACUCUUCUUUCGACACGUGGCACCAUGGCCCACCUACUUUUAUUUUAUUUAAAUCAUAUAUCAUAUAUAUUACUAUAUAUAAUAAUAUAUUAUUACUAUAUAAGAAGAGCGAAUAAAAUUCACUCUUCUUUCGACACGUGGCACCAUGGCCCACCUACUUUUAUUUUAUUUAAAUCAUAUAUCAUAUAUAUUACUAUAUAUAAUAAUAUAUUAUUACUAUAUAAGAAGAGCGAAUAAAAUUCACUCUUCUUUCGACACGUGGCACCAUGGCCCACCUACUUUUAUUUUAUUUAAAUCAUAUAUCAUAUAUAUUACUAUAUAUAAUAAUAUAUUAUUACUAUAUAAGAAGAGCGAAUAAAAUUCACUCUUCUUUCGACACGUGGCACCAUGGCCCACCUACUUUUAUUUUAUUUAAAUCAUAUAUCAUAUAUAUUACUAUAUAUAAUAAUAUAUUAUUACUAUAUAAGAAGAGCGAAUAAAAUUCACUCUUCUUUCGACACGUGGCACCAUGGCCCACCUACUUUUAUUUUAUUUAAAUCAUAUAUCAUAUAUAUUACUAUAUAUAAUAAUAUAUUAUUACUAUAUAAGAAGAGCGAAUAAAAUUCACUCUUCUUUCGACACGUGGCACCAUGGCCCACCUACUUUUAUUUUAUUUAAAUCAUAUAUCAUAUAUAUUACUAUAUAUAAUAAUAUAUUAUUACUAUAUAAGAAGAGCGAAUAAAAUUCACUCUUCUUUCGACACGUGGCACCAUGGCCCACCUACUUUUAUUUUAUUUAAAUCAUAUAUCAUAUAUAUUACUAUAUAUAAUAAUAUAUUAUUACUAUAUAAGAAGAGCGAAUAAAAUUCACUCUUCUUUCGACACGUGGCACCAUGGCCCACCUACUUUUAUUUUAUUUAAAUCAUAUAUCAUAUAUAUUACUAUAUAUAAUAAUAUAUUAUUACUAUAUAAGAAGAGCGAAUAAAAUUCACUCUUCUUUCGACACGUGGCACCAUGGCCCACCUACUUUUAUUUUAUUUAAAUCAUAUAUCAUAUAUAUUACUAUAUAUAAUAAUAUAUUAUUACUAUAUAAGAAGAGCGAAUAAAAUUCACUCUUCUUUCGACACGUGGCACCAUGGCCCACCUACUUUUAUUUUAUUUAAAUCAUAUAUCAUAUAUAUUACUAUAUAUAAUAAUAUAUUAUUACUAUAUAAGAAGAGCGAAUAAAAUUCACUCUUCUUUCGACACGUGGCACCAUGGCCCACCUACUUUUAUUUUAUUUAAAUCAUAUAUCAUAUAUAUUACUAUAUAUAAUAAUAUAUUAUUACUAUAUAAGAAGAGCGAAUAAAAUUCACUCUUCUUUCGACACGUGGCACCAUGGCCCACCUAUCCUAAUUUAAUAAGUGCUCAAAUAAUAUGAAAAAUAAAAAUUUAGUAAGAUUCUCAUCUAAUAUGGGACGGAGAGAAUAACAAUAUAACUUUAUUAAUGUUGGGCUCGGGCAGCGCCCGGGCUUUCGUUACUAGUCUAUAGAGAGACAUGAGCCACGUUAAUUUUGUUGCUUGGCACCUAUUCCUGUGAAAGACUUUUAGUUUUUUUCUUUGUGGGGUUUUAUUUGUGGAACUAAUAUGUCAAUAAAAGUGCAUAUCUCCCUAUAUAUAUAUAUAUAUAUAUAUAUAUAAAGAUGUUACAUAAAUGAAGGAUAAAAAAAUGACAAAGGUAAAAUAGACUUGGCAUAUGAUAGGGGUGCGGGGGGGGGGGGGGGGGGGUUAUUUCNNNNNNNNNNGGGGGAGGUGAUUAUUUCUCAAAGUUGAAGUGGUGUUUGAUUUUUUAUGAACAAAUUUUUAUGCAAAAAAAUGCAAUACACUAAUUUUAAAAAAAAGUAAGGUAUAAUGCAUAAUUUAUAUAUGCAGUAAUAUCAUUAGCUUAUGCAUUAUUUAAUAAGUUUGUGUUGUUUAGUACAUUGGGUUCGCUAAUAAUAUAAGUAAUAAAUUAAACAUAAUUGAAGUGCUUGUAUAAGAAUUAUAAGAUCCAAUACGACAUGGAGACAAUUCAUUUCCUUUUGAAUGAAUUGUAUUUUUUUCUCUUUUGGAUGAAUAUUUUAAAAAAAUAAUCAAAUAAUAUAAAUAAAUAGAUCUAUAAGAGAGAUAUUUAAAAUAUAAAUUAAUUAUUACAUUGUAAACAAAUAAAUUGUGAGAAAAAUCAAAGUGUACAUUUGUCUCGUUAUGAUGGCGAUAUCCUUUCUCUUUUUUUCCCCUAAUCAUGUAGAUGGACCGUAUAAUAUGUAUCUCUGUUCACUUGAAUUUUUUGAAAAAAAAUAAAUAAGAAAAAAAACAUAUUUAUCAAAUGCAUAGAUGUUUAUCGAUAAGAAGAAACAAAAAAGACUAAACAAUAAAAAUUAUACACUCGAUAUAAAUACACAAUUUAAAAAAAAAAAAGAUUAUAGGGAAAGAAGAAGAAGAAGGAAGAAAGAAAGAGCAAAUAUACGAUACAAACACAUUCAAUAAAAUAUCUUCUUAAUUAAAUACAAGCCUUUAAUUUCAGUUGUUGGAUAAUGUAUAUUUAAGACUUGUUUGUUUUUCUUAUUGAGGCUGGAGAGCUACGCAAUUAAUAUGUCAAGUAAACAUACAUCUAGAGGCCUGUGGCUUACGCAAAAAAAAUUGUAAAGAGUGUCACGUUUUAAAAUAAAUAAUAAUAAUAUAUAUAAAUAUAUUGAACUAAAUAUUUUACUUAAAAAUAUACAAAGUGUAGUUGAUGGGAUUCAAACUCGCAAAGUUUAAGAAGCGCCGAACCACUUGACUAUGCCCCUAUUUGUGAUAAGUAGUGUCACUCUAUUACAUUUAACCAAUUUUCUGAUUUUGUUUUUACAAUUCGAUAAAAGUAUUUAAUAAAAAAUUUCAAUCAAGCAGUGUCCCGUGACACCCCUUAACAUAAGGUAAAUCUGCCCCUGCUAGAGGUGAAUCUAACACACCGAUCAAUAAUUUUCGAAGAACUCACUCAAUAUAGAAAUGAACAACAAACACAUGAUAUUUUCAUUCCAAGCAUAAUGCAUAAACAUGACUCUUAACUUGGCGUCAAUUGGCAACUAUGACCUUUAACUUUGGCUGUGCACAAGUAGGCACUUAAAAAUUGAGCAAAUGGACACAUUCGUCCAACAUGGCAUCCUACGGCAAUUUUGUAUCCUACGUGUAUUGUGCUAUGUAGGACACUUGUGUUUACUUGUUCAAUUUUAUAUAAGUUUAAGUGUCUACCUAUACACAUUCAAAGUUAGAGGGCAUAGUUAUUCACUGAAGCCAAGUUAAGGGUCAUGUUUAUGUAUUAUGCCUUCAUUCUAUCCAUAUAGCUCAUAGCACCCUUUUGUUGGUUAGAUUAGGCCCCAACCUGACUCAACUUUGAAUAGAAUGGUCCUAAAAUAUAUUUUUGAUAUGUGAGCCUUUAAUUUCAAUUGAUGGGGUAUAUAUUUAUGACAUAUGCAGAGAGAUAUGAACAACGUUAAUUUUGUUGCUUGACACCUAGUCCUAUGAAUAAUUUUAUCUUUUUUUGUGGAUUUUUUUUUAUAGCCGGGAAAUUAAUAUGUUAAUCAAAGUAUAUAUCUCCACAUGUAGGGGUGUUUAUAAUUGGGUGAAAAUCAUCUUAUAUGCUUCAAUUUUGAGAAAUAAUCAUUUUUUCCCCUUCAUAUUGGCUUUUUUAAAAUAUCUAAGCCGCUGAAGCAAGUAAUAAAAAAUAAUGUGAUAACCUUAUAAACAUAUUUUGAAGCAAGUAAUAAAAAAUAAUUAACAAAAAUCAAGAUAUUUCAAAAUAAUUUCUUAAAAGAUUAUCUAUUAAUAUUAUAAAUAAUUUUAAAUUAUAAUUAAGAAAUAUUUCAUUAAUGACAAUAAAAAUAGUUUUAUCUAUAUGGGUAAUAGAGAAUAAGAUAUAUACAUGAAUACAUAGACGUGCCUUUUUAACUUGGCUUUAACUGUCAUCUAUACUCUUUAACUUUGGGUGUGUACUAGUAUAUAUUUAAAUUUUUAUAAAGUUGAACAUGUAUACGCACGCGUUCUACAUGACAAUUUGCCUGAGAUACACUUGAAUUGAUUGUAUUAUGUCAUAUAGAAAAUAAAUAUAAAUAUACUGAACUAAAUAUUUUACUUAAAAAUAUACAAAGUGUAGUUGCUGGGAUUCAAACUCACAAAGUCUAACAAGCGCUGAACCACUUGAACUAUGCCCCUAUUUGUGAUAAGUAGUGUCAGUCUAUUAUAUUUAACUAAUUUUCUGAUUUUGUUUUUCAAUUCGGUAAAAGUAUUUAAUAAAAAUUUCCGAUCAAGCAGUGUCCUGUGACACCCCUUAGCAUAAGGUAAAUUUGUCCCUGCUAGAGAUGAAUCUAACACACCGAUCGAUAAUUUUUGAAGAACUCACUCAAUAUAGAAAUGAACAAUAAACACGUGAUAUUUUCAUUCCAUCCGUAUAGCUCAUAGAACCCCUUUGUUGGUUGGAUUAGGUCCCAACCUGACUCAACUUGGAAUAGAAUGUUCCUAAAAUAUCUUUUUGAUUUCAUAUGAACCUUUAAUUUCAAUUGAUUUUGAAUAGAAUGGUCCUAAACAACACUAAUUAUGUUGCUUGGAGCCUAGACCUAUGUAGAUUUUUUGUUUUUUUCUUUGUGUGGAUUUUUUGAUAGCUGGGAAAAUAAUAUGUCAAUAGAAUAAUUAUAUCUCCACAUGUAAGGGUGUUUAUAAUUUGCUGAAAAUAAUCUACAUUUCCGAAUUUUAUUUUAAAUCAUCGCCCCCCCCCCCUCCCUUAAUUUUGAGAAUUAAUCUUCUUUUUUUUUCAAAUUGACUUUUUAAAUGUUUUUUCUACCCUUACAUUAUCAACCUUUAUUUUUUAUAUACUUCUUUUAAAAUCAUAAUAUAUUUAUUUUGUAAUCUAUAUAAAAAAUUAUUAAAAAAAUAUUGAUAAGCAUAUAACUUAAUGUCGUUCUAAAAUAAAAUAAAUGAAAAAAAAAUAAAAGAGUGAUGUUAUUAACUUUAAUAAAAUCUAUAAUGUGAUAACCUUAUAAACAUAUUUUGAUGCAAGUAAUAAAAAAUAAUUAAUAAAAAUAAAGAUAUUUCAUAAUAAUUUUUUAAAAUUUACCUAUUUAUAUUGUAAAUAAAUUUCAAAUUAUAAUUUAAGAAAUAUUUCAUAAAUGACAAUAAGAACUCGUUUAUCUACAUAAGUAAUAGAGAAUAAGAUAUAAACAUAAUUAUAUAAAUGUGUCCUUUUAACUUGGCAUCAAUUGUCAUCUACACCCUUCAACUUUGUGUGCACACAAGUAUAUAUUUAAUUUUUUAUAAAGUUGAACAAGUAGACACAUGUGUUCUACAUGACAAUUCGUGUAAGAUACACUUGAACUGAUUGUAUUAUGUCAUGUAGAAAAUAUAUUAUGCUACGUGUAGAACGCCUGGGUCUAUUUGUUCAACUUUAUACAAUUUUAAAUGCCUACUUGUACUCAUUCAUAAGUUGGAGGACAUAAAUAUCAAUUUAUGCCAAGUUAAAGACCACGUGUUAAGGCACCGGGUUGAUAAUGAACCAAGAAGUAAUAAAAGAUACUAAACUGUGACAUAAGAACAACAGGAGUUUUACGUGGAAACCUCCUUGAUCAAGGGAGAAAAAUCACGACCUGCCACACAUGAUUUUCAACAGCUUUCACUAUUUUCAAGCAACAAGUGAAUACAGACUCCAAAUACACAUAAGGAGAUUAAACUCUUAAUCUCACCACCCGUAAUAAUCCUAUUACAAAGAGAGCCAAAGCAAUAUUUUCAUUGCCCACAAUAUUAACUAACUCUAAUUAAUAUAGACUUCAAUCACACACCACACAGUUAACUUUAACUAUGCUCAUUGUUGUUUCUUUAUAGAUUAGAAACGGAUCUUACAAGUUCACUACAUCACAAGCAUUUUCUAAUAACACUUGGAAGACACACUCGAUAUGUAACAUCUCGCUAAAUUGAAAGAACUAGAAAGAGUUAGAAGUGGAAAUAGUCAUUUUAGGAAAGAAUAAAAAGUCUGGAAAUUUGUUAAGUUUGGAUUUUUGGUCAACUUCAAACGACCAUAACUCCUAUCUCAGGAUGAGUUAGGUGUGUUUCCAGAUACCGUAGGAAAUAUCGUUGAAUUAACUUUUCAACGCCUCCAAUUUUGCGCGAUUCCAAGUUCGUAUGAGUGAGAUAUGCCCUUUGGAAGUUGGGUUGUUUAGAUAAGGAAAGUCUAAUCCGAAUUUUGGAAGGGUAUUUUAGUCUUUUCCUUGCCCAAUUGUUUUAUUUCAUUUUUGCUAAUUAAGUUAGGGUCUAAUCAUAAUUAGUCCAGUUUAGAAAAGUUGAAGUUCACUCUAGGGCUUGGAGAAAAAAGAAAAGAGGAGAAAGGAGAAGAAAAGUUCAAAGUUUGUCAAUUUCUUGGAGAUUUUCGUGUGGAUUUCGCCAAGGAUUUAAUCCUACAAGGUAUGGGAGGCUUUCAUAACAUUGGGUUCGUUCACCCACGUGCCAAACAUAUUUAUUUCAGUGUGAAUUCAUCCUAAAAGAGUUUGAAAGUUGAUGUCCUUGAUAUGUAUUCUUGAAUUUGAUGUCGUUCUUGAAUUGGGCUGAGAUUGAGAAGUUUCUGAGAUCAUUACGUCAAAUUAUUGAGUUGGUUGGAGUUAGGUUCUUAGGUACAUUUGUUGGGUAUCUGUAUCUAAAAAUAAUUUGGGAAAAAGAAACGAGUUUGGGCGAAUUGGGGCUAGAAAAUGAAGAAGGAAAUUAGUAGGGAAAAUCUGGGCAUUAGCUCCACGUCACGGACCUGCUCCCCAGAUUGGGGAAAAAUUAUUUCGCGUCGCUGAGCGGUCACGGACUGUUCUGCCUCAAAAAGUAUUUUCGCGACCAAAAUUUAAAUACAUCUCCUCGUCGCGGACCUGCCCUCAGACAGUGAUUUUUUUUUAUCUUUUCUCAUGUUUAGCUAUCUAAAAACACUCCUAAACAUCAUGAGAUCUUUCCUAUCACAAAUCACAAUCCUUGAAUCCAUAAUUCAAUUCAAGGAAAAUUAAGAGUCAAGUUUAGAAGUUAAGAAACAAGUCAAGAGAAGUUCAUUAAAAGUGUUUCAAAAGUCUUUCACAAACGUUUUAACUUUGUUCUAAGACUUAUGUUUUAAGUUAAGCAAAGAGUAAAGAGUUGAGUUCAUUUCUCCAAAAGUUAUAAGGGAACUAAGUAUUCCCAAGAGUUUAAAAUGUUUUCACAUUGAACAAGAAAGGGAACAUCGAUUCCAAAAGAGCUUUUAAGCUAAGUUUUGAGUAAUUAUCUCAAACCAAAGAAAGAAGUUUGUUUUAAAAAAUAUAUGAGCUAAGUAUAUUUUGGGAGUAGUAUUGAGCACCGAUAUGGGGAUGCGAGUUCAUAUUAACUCAAGUCUCCAUAAACCAUGUAGCCAUCAUGGGUAGUAAAGGAUCAUACUUUUUAGAUGACUCCUUAAGAUGCUUUUAGCAUAAGACUAGUGAAUCCACUUAGUUAAGGUGUUAUAUAUGACUGCAAAGUAUAGGACAGUUCUGGCAGCGUGGACAAGACGUUGUAUCAUCACUUAGGCUCAUAGUGGUGGUUUUUCGGUUAGAGAAUCUCCCACAGAAACUAUUACUUUAUUAUAUGAGUAAAGUUGAGUUUGUUAUUGCAUUUUCUUUAACGAACUAAGUUGUUUUCCACUUUUUUACUAAGCUUUCUAUAUAUUGCAUAUGUUUAUUGCUUUAUAUUGAGUUAAGUUAUUCAGGAGUUGAGUAAAGUCAAGGUAAGUGUUUCUUUUAGAUUUCUUUUCAAGCCUAAUGUUGUGUUUUAAGCAUUUCCAAACUUCGCAUACUUGUACAUUCAAUGUACUGAUGCCAGUUGACCUGCAUCCUCUUAUGAUGCAGAUGCAGGUAACCAUGAUCAUCACCCAGCGCCUCAUUGAUCCAGUUGAGCACUCAGAGUCAGUUGGUGAGCCUCCUUGCAUUCCGAAGGACUCCUUUUACUUUGCUUUCAGUAUUUCAUUGUUAGGAUGAUCGGGGGUCUUGUCCCGACAUCCCUCUUUGUUUUAGAGGCUUCAUAGACAGUCAUACAGUUAGUAGUUUAGUUGUCUUUACAUUGUUAUUUCUUAUGUUAAGACUUGAGUUGCCACUUUGGCCAAGUUGAAUGUUGACUUUUAAACAUUCUAAGCUAUUUUAUUUAACAAUUGAGUAAGUACAUUUGAUCAUUGUAAUAAUGCUUAGAGUCUUCCGCUGAGUAAGUAAGUCAGGUCAAGGGUUCGAUUGGAGCCACUAAUGGUUCUUGAGUGCCAGCCACCUCCAGGGUGUAGGCUCGGGGGGUGACACGAUAACUCUAUCAGGUCCCUUAUGGUUGUUGAAAGCUUAAGUUCUUCAAAGACAAAGUUCACCCUUUUGAUGAAUCGAAUUGUUUUAUAUUUUCUCACUAGGUUAUAUCAAUCAACCGAGGAUGUAUUAUCCUCUGAACAAACAAUCUAGUGCUUUCUCAUUGGUGGAGUACACUGCUCUUGUUUCAUGUGCUCACCAACUGCGUUAGGUGUGACAACUUUACAACUGUUCACCAUUAUUUAGGCCAGAGGAAUGCCACUCAAAUUUGGACCAAGUCCCAAUGUUUGUGAAUAUUAUCAAAACACUGAAAUACAACAUAAAUGAACAAGAAAAAAAAAUGCAAUUUUCAUUCCAUCUGUAUAGGCCAUACCACUCUUUUGUUGGUGAGAGUAGGUCUCAACCAGGGGCGGCUGUAAAGGGUUAAAAAAAAGUCUUUUGCCUUAGGCCCCCAAUUUUAGGGGGCCUCAUUUUUUAGUUAAUUAGGUAGGAUUAAAUUAAAAAAAUAAUAUUAGAACUAAGACAAUAAAUGCAAAGGCCCCAUUUUUAGAUAAUUAGGAAGGAUUAAAUUAAAUUUUUUUUUGCUAGAACCAAGACAAUAAAUUCAAGUGGAAAAGGUCUUUUUGAAGUUAUUUUAGAUGAAAUAAAAUGUAUUGGACUUGAUAUUGAUAAUUUAAGAGGACAAGGAUAUGAUAAUGGGUCUAAUAUGAAGGGAAAACACCAAGGAGUGCAAAAAAGACUUCUUGAUAUAAAUCCUAGAUCAUUUUAUACACCAUGUGGUUGUCAUAAUCUAAAUUUGGUACUUUGUGAUAUGGUUAAUUCUUGUACGAAAGCUAUAUCAUUCUUUGGAGUGGUACAACGUAUAUAUUCACUAUUUUCUUCGUCUACUAAGCGGUGGAAAAUUUUAAAAGAUAGUGUACCUAGUUUAACUCUUAAAUCAUUGUCACAAACACGGUGAAAAAGUCGUAUUGAAAGUAGCAAUAAGGUUUCAAACUCCACAAAUAAGAGAUGCUUUAUUUAAAUUAGAAGAAGUUAGUGAUGAUCCAAAAAUUAAAAGUGAAGCUAAUUGUUUAGCAAUUUUUUAGCUUGAAAUUUUAAAUUUUUAUUGGGUAUGACUAUUUGGUAUGAUGUACUAUUUGCUGUAAAUUCAAUUAGCAAAAGUUUACAAUCAAAAGAUAUGCAUAUUGAUGUCGCUAUAGAUCAAUUAAGAGGUUUAGUUUCUUUUUUUAAAACAUAUAGAGAAGAAGGAUUUACAAGUGCUAUGAUUUCGGCUAAGGAAAUUGCAUUAGAGAUGAAUAUAGAACCUGUAUUUCGUAAGAAACGUGUAAUUUAUAGAAAAAAACAAUUUGAUGAGAAUGUUGAUAAUGAAAUCACAAGAUCUCUUGAAGAAUCAUUUAGAGUUGAUUACUUCUUAUACAUAGUAGACCAAGCCAUCUUUUCACUUCAAAAUAGAUUUGAACAAUUUGAAGUAUAUGAAAAUAUUUUUGGUUUUCUAGUUAGUGGGAAAAAAUUGAGAUCAUUAGAUGAUGAGAAUUCAAAAAAAUAUUGUCUUAAUCUUGAAUGUUCCUUAAAACAUAAUACUCACUCCGAUAUUGACGGUUUAGACUUAUUUUCUGAAUUAAGAGUGUUAAGGGAAAUCAUAAAAGUAGAAGACAAUACUCUAAUUGAGAUACUCAAUCAAAUAAAAAGACUUGAUUCUUUUCCAAAUGCGUACAUUGCUUAUAGAAUAAUGUUAAUAAUUCCUGUAACAGUCGCCUCAGCCGAAAGAAGUUUUUCAAAAUUAAAAAUAAUAAAAUAUUAUUUCAGAUCGAUAAUGUCUCAAGAAAGAUUAAGUGGUUUGGCUAUAUUAUCGAUUGAAAAAGAAUUAUUAGAAGAGAUUGACUACACAAAAAUUAUUAACAACUUUGCAUCUCAAAAAGCUAUAAAAAUAGAUUUAAAAUAAAAACAUUUAUAAUUUUUUUUUAAGGCCUCUAGUUUGAUUUUGGCCUUAGGCCACCAACGGGUUUGAGCCGCCCCUGGUCUCAACCUGACUCAACUUUUAGUAGAAUAGUCCUAAAAUAUCUUCUUUAAUUUCAAUUGAUGGGGUAUAUAUUUAUGACAUAUGCAGAGAGAUAUGAACAGCGUUAAUUUUGUUGCUUGACACCUAGUCCUAUGAAGAAUUUUAUCUUUUUUUUUGGGUUUUUUUUGGUAGCUGGGAAAUUAAUAUGUUGACAAAGUAUAUAUCUCCACAUGUAGGGGUAUUUAUAAUUGGGUGAAAAUCAUCUUAUUUAUUUUAAAUCAAACUCCUCCUACAAUUUUGAGAAAUAACCAUUUUUCCUUCAAAUUGGCUUUUAUAAAUAUCUAAGCCACUGAAGCAAGUAAUAAAAAAUAAUGUGAUAAUUACCUUAUAAACAUAUUUUGAAGCAAGUAAUAAAAAAUAAUUAACAAAAAUCAAGAUAUUUCAAAAUAAUUUCUGAAAAGAUUAUCUAUUAAUAUUAUAUAUAAUUUUAAAUUAUAAUUUAAGAAAUAUCCCAUUAAUGACGAUAAAAACAGUUUAUCUAUAUAGGUUACAGAGAAUAAGAUAUAUACAUAAUUACAUACACAUGUCUUUUUAACUUGACUUUAAUAACUGUAAUCUAUACCCUUUAACUUUGGGUGUGUACGAGUAUACAUUUAAAUUUUUAUAAAGUUGAACAUGUAGACGCACGCGUUCUACAUGACAAUUUGCAUGAGAUUCACUUGAACUGAUUGUAUUAUGUCAUAUAGAAAAAUAUAUUAUGCUACGUGUAGAACAUGUGCGUCUAUUUGUUCAACUUCACACAAGUUUAAAUGUCUAUUUAUGCUUACUCAUAAGUUAGAGGGAAUAAAUAUCAAUUUAUGCCAAAUUAAAAAGCAUAGUAAUGUAUUAUUAUGCCCAAGAAAUGAAUGAAACUUAAAUAUGCAUGCACAUAAUACAUUCAUACAUAUGUACUUAAUUUAUGCAAUAUUAAAAUAGUAAUUAUGAAAACUUACCAAUUAAAAUAUUUAUAAAAAUUAUAAAAACUUAUCCAUUCAAGAGAAAAAAGUUGGUAUUUGAUUGAAAAAAGAAGAAGAAAGAAACAUUUGUAGAGAGAGAGAGGCGAAAGGAUAUAAGUAGGAAGUUCAACAUAAUUAAAGUUCUGGUAUAAGAGUUAUAAGAUCUAAAAUGACAUGAAGACAAUUCAUCUCCUUUUGAAUGGAUUUUUUUCUCUCUCUUUUGGACGAAUUAUUUUUUAAAAAUUUUCGUGUAUAGUUAAUAAUGAAUAAUCAAAUCAAAAUCGAUAAAUAUAUAUUAUAUCUAAUUUAAUUUAAUUUUAAUAAUUUAAAGAUUAAUCAAAUUAAUUUGUUCAUGAGUUUUACCAAUAAACCAAUCCGUAAAUAUCCCUAAUAAUAAUCGAAAAAACACUUCAAAUAUGUAUUGAUCGUCUCACCCUCCAUUUCCAAUCCAAAACCAUCGCAACUAAUCUCUUAUUUUUAAGGCUUCCCACCUUUACAUCUUAACAAAUACAUAUUCCAUUUGUCCCAAUUUAUAUGACUUACUUUCAUUUUUAGUCAGUCCCAAAAAGGAUGACACGUUUAUAUAUUAAAGAACAAUUUAAGUUCAUUUUAUCCUUAAUAAAAUGAUUUAUAACCACACAAAUUUCUAUCAUUCAUAUUAGACCACAAGUUUUAAAAGUCUUCCUUUCUUUGUAAACUUUGUGCUGAGUCAAACUAACUCACAUAAAAUGAGACAGAGGAAUUACUUUAAUUCAAAUUCCAAUAAGAAUUAAUCAAUGAUGACUAAGAUCAGUGGACUAAGGCCUCCUUUAUUUCUAUUAAGAUUAAAACGUCUGAAUAAGAAUAUGAAUAUUAAGAUGUGCAUGAAGAUUUUGAUGUCUAGAUCUGAAUACACAUUUGAAUAUUAAAACGCGGCUUCUAGUUUUAUAUAAUGAAUGACUAAUAUUGUUUGUUUUCAAUAUCUGAUUGUGCAUAUGAAAUUCAACACUGUAUAAAUAAUAUAUUAUAAAAUUUUCAUUUAAAAAAAACAUUACCUUUUAAUAAGAUACCUCAAAUUUUAACAAUAGACCUCAAGUAUAUACAUAACUAUUCUUUUUAAUAAUGAUUAGUAUUUUUUUACUCAGAAACCUUGAUUCUUGAUGAAUAUCAAUACUCUAAAAAAUAUCAUGACAACAAGAGUUCUUGACAAACAUCAAUACACCCCACCCCACCCACCGCACUCUCAAUUUUAUUUUGUUAAUUUAAGAAAAUACUAAACAAAUUAAAAUACUUGUAAAGAUAUGAAAACUUAUCAAUUCAGGAGAAAAAAAAUUGGUAAUUAAUUGAGAAAAAAAGAAGAAGAAACAUUUGUAGAGAGAGAAAGGCGAAAGUGACAUGAAUAUUUUGUGAAUAUAGCAUAUUAAAUAAGUUUUGUUAAGACUGUUCUAAAUCUGAUUUGUUCAGAUUCAUUAAGACUCUUCCUAAAAAGAAAUAAACUAAAUCUGAAUGAUGAAAAAUUAGAUUUUCAUUAAAAGCAAAUAAAUAAGGCCUAAGAUCCGAUUUCCCUUUUGCUAUAAAAGUAGCUCACAUAUGAUCUAUUGUUAUACAAAUAACCUAGAUAUAUCCUUUUAGUUUAAUAGGAGUAAAAAAUGAAUUUUGAUUUUUUUGUUUAAAAAAAUAUUUUUUAAAAUUUAUUAUUCUACUCAUUUUCUUGUAAAAUUUAUUAUAUAUGUCCCAUUUUUUCACUCAUUAAUUUUUUUUCUUAAUUUUUUAAUUUUUUAUUCACACUUUUUUCUUUUUCUUUUUCAUAUUUUUACACUAAAAAAAUAUUAAAUAAAAAUAAAGAACUCAUAUAAUAAUAAAUAAAUAAAUAGAUUUAUAAGAGAUAUUAAAAACAUAAAUUAAUUAUUGAAUCAAAGAAGUAAAAAAAAAAAUCAAAGUGUGCGUUUGUCUUGUUGUUGUUGUUGUCGGCAGAUGGACAAUAUUGUCAAUUUGUAAAGCCAUAAGGCCACUAUACAGAACCCCUAAAGCAUUAUAAAUAGGAAUGGUGUCAUCAUACUUUAGUGUAGGGGUGUACAAAACCGAAUCGAAAAUCGAAUUAAAUCGUAAAUCGAGUUAAAUCGAAUAAAAUAUCCGACUAGUGGUUUGGUUUGACUUGGUUUGGUAUUGGAAAAAAAAAACCCGACUAUAUUUGGGUUGGUUUGGUUUUAAUUAAAAAAAAUCAACCCGAGACCAAACCAACCCGACAUUAUAUAUGUAAUUUUAAAAUUUUAUUUUAUACAUAAAAAUAUUUACAUUGAUAUAAUUCUAAAAUAUUUCUUAUACUAUUUCAUAGUUUUUAUCUUUUAAUAUAUUAUUUCAAGUUUAAAACUUAGAAUUCGGAAUGGUCCAAUAAAGUUAUAGUUCAUAGAUGUUGAUAAUUAUAAUAAAACUUAAAUCAAAAUAAAAUUAAUAAUAAUGCAAAAAGAAAAUCAAUUCAACACUAAGAAUGACAAUAAUAUUGAAUAUUUAUUCUUUAAUUUUACAUUGGUUUAGACAAUUAAAAUACAUAAUCUAAUUUUAAUUUUCCUUAAAUAUUUAGUAAUGUAACUAAUACUUAUUAAACUUAUUUUAGCAUGAUUUAGUACUUUUAAAUUAUGAUCAUUUUCAUUAUGACUUUGCAAUAUUUAUUUUAUAUGAUGAUUUCAUUAUUAUUUUUUAUUGAAUAUUUUAGUGUCAUCACUCAUCUCAUAUUUUGUGUUAUUUUCUUAAGAAACACCUUAGAUGAUUGUAUUUUGGUUGGAAUAAAGAAAUAUUUGGAGCACAAGUUAAUUAUAUGUUUGUAUGCAAACUUUACCAAAAAAAUCCAAAAAUCUGAAAAAAAUCUGAGGUUUAUUAGUUUGGUUUGAUUUAUAAAUUUAAAAAUUCGACAUAAUGGUUUGGUUUGGUAUUUGAAAAACCCGAACCAACCCGAGGUUGAAAAUCCCGAAAAAAUCCGAAUUUUAUUAGUUUGAUUUGGUUUAUAAAUGUAAAAUUUUUACACAAAUAAUUUGAUUUGAUAUUUGAAAACCCCAAACCAACCCGAUCAUAUACACCCCUACUUUAGUGUAUAAUUUCUAAUAUAAGUUGAAGAAAACUUUAAUUUGCAACUUCACUGUAGAGCCAACAUCAUUAUAACUUAUAAGGUAUGCCCUAUCUUUUAAUUUUUUUUAUAUUGAGAUCAUUUAAUGUAAAUAAGUGGAGUACUACUAUUUUUUUCUUCUUACAAAGUUAGUAGUAGUAAUUAGAGUAAAUUUUAGGCUUAUAAAAACAUAAAAAUCAUAUUUGUAUGUUAUAGCUAUAGUUUGCAUAAUUGCGUUCUAUAAAACCAUCUCCAACCCAACAUCAAAUCCUAUAUUUGGUGUAAAAUUUGGUGUUUUUGAGCUCCAACCCACACCAAUUUUUACACCAAAUUUGGUGUGUGAAUAGUGUUACACCAAAUUUGGUGUAACACUAUUCAUCACACCAAUUCACUUUUUGAAUAUUUUAAUAUUAUUUCAUUAUACAAAUUUUUAAUUAAACAUUAUAUAAAUUGUAUGAUUUAGUUAAAUCUCUUGUAUAUUUAAUUAUUUUUUAUGUAAUAUUUUUAUAAUAUUAAUUUUAGAUAUAAAAUUUAGCUUUUUUAUAAAUUAUUUUUUCUAUAUAUGUACUUUUAAAAAAAAUUAAAUUUUAAUGUUAAUUCUACUAUAAAUUAUAAUUGGAUAUAACUACAAUUAACCUUCACAAAAAAUUUAAAAAUGCAAAUAUAUAAAUUUUUAAACAAAUAAUACAAUGUACUUAAAAAUAACCGAAAAUAAUACGCAUUCAACAAAGUAGUAAUUGUCAUACAUCAAAAUUGAAAUAUAAAAUACAUAGUAAUUUUAAAAAGUACAACAAAACAUAAUAAUUUAAAAGACAAAGAAACUACAUUUUGAACUACGUAAUGCAUUAAUAGAGCAUUUAUGGGAGCACCGUAGUGAUCUUGAAAGUUGAAUAUUUAAUGUAGAAUUUAAAAAUAAUUUUUUCAAUUAUGUAAUGUUUAUUUAAUUGUAUUUCAUUAAUGAUUUCACUUUUAUUUGUAUUAUCUAUUAAUAUGUAUAAUGUAUAAUAUUUGCUAGCAAUUUAUAUUAUUUAAAAAAUUAUGGUACAAAAUAAUUUUAUAUUAAACGAUUAUAAAAGGAAAUAGUAUGAAUUAUAUAUGGUGAAUGUUUUAGAAAGUUUUUUUUUUAUGAAAUAAGUAAAUAUAAAUGAAAUAAGAAAUAAUAAUAUAAUAAUGAAGAGAGAAAAAUUUUCCUUUUUGGUGUAAAAUUUGGUGCAGUGGGUUGGAGUUGAUUACACCAAAAAUAGUGUUGACACCAAAUUUGGUGUAAAAUUUGGUGUUUGGGUUGGAGAUGCCCUAACAAAUUUUAUGUUUGCUAUGGAGCAUCAGAUCUAUAUAAAAAUCGCAGGCAACUUUGAUUUGUAUAAAAUUGCAGGCAUCUGAUUUGUAUAAAUCACAGCGAUUUGUAUAAAUCGGGCGUCUGUGUCUAUGGAAAUUGUGUUUGUAUAUGUAUAUGUUCUUUAUGUUUGUAUAUCUGCAUAAAAUUUGAAUUUGUAUAGAAUUGAAUCGAAAUAAAACAUUUGUAUAUCAAAUCUCUCUCUCUCGCUUUAUACAACACAAAUUAUACAUUGUAAUUUGUGUUUGUAUAAAGCGAGAAAGAGAGAAAGACAAAAGAGAACUGGUAGGGGAAGAUCUGUAUUUGUAUAAUUAUAAGUGUAUAGGACAAAAAUAUAUGUAUUUCUAUUUGUAUAUACAAUUUUAUCUCGCUUUAUAUAAACACAAAAGCAAUUUAUACAUUUGUGUUUGUAUAAAGUGAGAGAAGCGAGGGAGAGUGGCGAGCGAGAUCACGGAGAGUGUCGAGCGAGAUUUUUGGGGAGAGAGGCGAAUGGCAAGUGUUUGCUACGAAUUAGAAUUAAAUGAAACUGUGGUUAUAGCAUUUAAUUUGAAUUAAUAGUUUGCUAUUUUAUACAAUUUUCCCACCUAAUUAGUACUGAUAGUCGAUAUGUUUAAACUUACAUUUAUAGAGAAAAAUAUAUAGGGGAUAAUAAUCCCAAUUAAUUAGUAGUAGUAGAUUAUGUCAAGCAGACAAAAAUUGGAUAAUAUAAAUUUAAAUCGGAGAAGAAUGAGUCUAUCUUUGAAUUAUACGCAGCCUAGCUAGGUGAUUUUUAGAUCAUCUAAAAAAGAGUUAAUGGAACUUUUGAGUGCAUCAUGCUGAUCUUAGUGACAAAAUAAGAAAUUUUGUAUUUAAGAUUUAAUUGUUUUUUUUUAAAAUCUAUAUAUAUGUAGUAUAUUUUUUUCUAAUACAAAGUUUCUGACCUAACUCAUGUUUGUUCGAAAUUUGAUUGAUAUAUUUCCUUUACCAAACAGUUUUUGCAUCAUGAGGUUAAAAUUACACGUCGUGUUGACAGUCAUCCUCCUACUGUCCGGGGAGUAGUCACAAGGUAACUAGUCAUCAUUCACCUUAAUCUUUGGUGUAAUGUUAAAAAACUUACUUAAAUAUAUGACGCGCCUACUAAAGAAACGCGGAAUUUUUCAUAGGUGGUGGAAAGAAUUGAAAAUAGUGAAGACAUCACCUUAAGUAAGAGACAGAUUGGCAGAGGCUUACUUCUGGAGUUUAGGUGUCUACUUCCAACCUCAGUAUAGCAUUGCGAGGAAAAUAUCAACAAAAAACUUAUACAUGCUUUCUCUUAUUGAUGACACACAUUAUAUUUAAUUUAUGGGACACUAGAUGAACUUAUUCUAUUCACAGAGACAAUUGAAAGGUAAUAAUUCAUUUUGUUAUGUUGUAUAUAUAUAUAUUGAUAGCUUAUUAUAACAUUUUUAUAAUUGCUCUUUUAUAUAUAUGUAGGUGGAAUAUUGAUGCUUCCGAACAAUUACCAUCAUAUAUGAAGAUUAUUUACUGUGGUCUUCUAGAUGUUUACGAUGAAUUUGAGAAAGACUUGGCAGAUGAAAACAAAUCAUUUCUAGUCAACUAUUACAUAAUAGAGGUACUUAUAAAUAAAUUAGCAAAUAACAUAUACUUAAAUUGAUUAACAACUAUUAUUUUAUUUUUUUCUAGACGAAAAAGGUGGUGAUGGCUUACUUUCAAGAGGCAAAAUGGUAUUACGGUAAGAAUUUAUAUGACUUACUUUCAUUUUUAGUCAGUUCCAAAAAGAAUGACACAUUUCUAUUUAAAAGAACAAUUUAACUUUUAAAAGUCCAUUUUAUCCUUAAUGAAAUGAUUUAUAGCCACACAAAUUUUUAUCAUUCAUUUUAGAUCACAACUUUUAAAAGUUUUCCUUUCUUUGUAAACUCUGUACCGAGUCAAACUACCUCACAUAAAAUGGAACAAAGAGAGUACAUUAAUUCAUUCAAAUUCCAAUAAGAAUUAAUCAAUGAUGACUAAGACCAGUGGCCUAAAGCCUCCUUUAUUUACAUUAAGAUUAAAACGUCUAAAUUUGAAUAAGCAUAUGGAUAUUAAGAUGUGCAUGAAGAUCUUGAUGUCUAGAUCUGAAUACGCAUUUGAAUAUUAAAAUGUGGCCUCUAGAUUUAUAUAAUGAAUGACUAAGAUUGUUUGUUUGCAAUAUCUGAUUGUGCAUAUGAAAUUUAACACUAUAUAAAUAAAAUUUUAUAAAUUUUCAUUUUUAAAAAAUAUACCUUUUAAUAAGAUACUUCAAAUUUUAACAACAGAGCUCAAGUAUAUACAUAACUUCUUUUUAAUAAUGACUAGUAUUUUUUUCACUCAAAAACUUUGAUUCUUGAUGAAUAUCAAUACUCUAAAAAAUAUUAUGACAACAAGAGUUCUUGACAAACAUCAAUACCACCCCCCACCCCCCACCUUCUCUCAAAAAUUUUUGCUAAUUUAAGAAAAUACUAAACAAAUUAAAAUACUUGUAAAGAUAUGAAAACUUAUCAAUUUAGGAGGAAAAAAUUGGUAUUUAAUUGAGAAAAAAAAGGAAAAAUCAUUUGUAGAGAGAGAAAGGCGAAAGCGAUAUGAAUAUUUUGUGAAUAUAUCAUAAUAAAUAAAUUUUGUUAAGAAUGUUCUAAAUUUGAUUUGUUCAGAUUUAUUAAGAGUCUUCCUAAAAAACACAAACUAAAUUUGAAUGAUGAAAAAUUAGAUUUUCAUUAAAAGCAAACAAAUAAGGCCUAAAAUUGAUGAAUAAUAUGUAUACUAGAUGACUCAUGAACAACAUGUUCAUUUUAGUCAUUGCCCUUACAACAAUAUUGUCAUACCGCUAUGUUACUACUCCCUCCGUUUCGUUAUAUUUGGCUUCUAUAUUAAAUUUUUUUAAUUUAAAAAAUAUAUUAUUUUUAGUAUUAAAUAAUGGAAAAAAAGGAUAAAUAUAUCCUCGAACUUUCAAAAUGGUAUACAAAUACCCUUCGUUAUACUUUGAGGUUAUAUAUACCCUUACCAUCAUAUUUAAUUUUUGGAUCAUGUAUAUCCCUACACUAAACGGAGAGACACGUGGCGACAUCAUAAAAGUUUACCCUAUUUUAUUUUGUUUUAACUUUCACCUACAAAACUAAAAACCCACUCAACUAUCUAUUUACCUGACCCGAAUUAAAAAUCCUGACCCAAUCUAAAACAUUUGUGGAGUACAUUUCUGAAGCAAAUCCUUCAAUCCCGUCAUCAUUCUUCUCCAUUCUCAAUAAUCAAGAUCUCAUCCAUGAUGGAAAAUUCAUUUGCUAGAGAAACCUAUUACACUAUCUAUCAAAUUUAUUUUCAAAUUUACACUAAAUAAGCUGAAAAUAUAAAACCUUUACAUAUAAACAUGUCACAAAAAACUCUUUAUCAAAAUUAAAACCUCAAUACUACAACACAUAAGAAAAUUUCAACAAGAUUUAGAGCUCAAAUCAGAUGUCAUACUAAGAAACUCAUUACACAAUUGGAAGAAAAAAAAGGAAAUGGAGAAAUGACCAGAAGCCAUCGGAAAGCUCUCUGAAACACUCAUCCCCUUUCCCUUUCCUACAAAAUUUAACAAACUCUUCCGCUUCAUCUUACACAUAUUAUUGCUACUGAACUACAGAAGCCACGGUAGGAUAGAAGCCCUAAAAUAUGAGGUUUACUAAAUAGAAGUAGAGGUUUACUCACCCUAAAUGUCAUAUUUAAAUAAGAUGUAAAGCUUUAAAACCAUCAAAAGUUCCAAAUCAAAUUGUAAAAGUAGUCAAACAAGUAUAUCAUUUACGUAGAAUACUACAUACAUUGAUCUAGAAUGUCCUCUUUUACUUGUUCAUAAUAUAUAUAUAUAUAUAUAUAUAUAUAUUUGAAGCAGAUGCUUAUAAGAAGUUCACUGACGAACAAACAAAUUUCAAGAAAGAAUUGGUUAACGACGUGCAUGGAAUGUUGAGCUUAUAUGAGGCAGCACAAUUCAGAGUACACGGCGAAGUAAUUCUGAAUGAAGCACUAAAUUUCACCACCACUCAAUUGAAACUAAUUUUGCCUAAAUUGAGCAACUCCCCACUUGCACAACAAGUCGCUAACGCACUCAAGUUUCCAAUUAAAGAUAGUAUUGUGAGGGUAGAAGCAAGGAAAUACAUAUCAUUUUACCAAGAAAAUCAAAAUCACAAUCAAGUCUUACUAAACUUUGCCAAAUUAGACUUCAAUAUCUUGCAAAUGUUACAUAAAAAAGAGCUAUGUGAUAUCACAAGGUAACUAGUCAUCAUUCACCUUAAUCUUUGGUGUAAUGUUAAAAAACUUACUUAAAUAUAUGAUGUGCCUACUAAAGAAACACAUAAUUUUUCAUAGGUGGUGGAAAAAAUUGGAAAUAGUGAAGACAUUACCUUAUGUAAGAAACAGAUUGGCAGAGGUUUACUUCUGGAAUUUAGGCGUAUACUUCCAACCUCAGUAUAGCAUUGCGAGGAAAAUAUCAACAAAAAACUUAUACAUGCUUUCUCUUAUUGAUGACACAUAUGAUAUUUAUGGGACACUAGAUGAACUUACAUAAUUUUAUUUUAUUUAUACUUACAAGUCAUUUCUAGUCAACUAUUACAUAAUAGAGGUACUUAUAAAUAAAUUAGCAAAUAACAUAUACUUAAAUUGAUUAACAACUAUUAUUUUAUUUUAUUUCUAGACGAAAAAGGUGGUGAGGGAUUACUUUCAAGAGGCAAAAUGGUAUUAUGGUAAGACAGUACUAAAAAUGGAACAAUACAUGAAGAAUGGAAUUUCAACAAGUGCUUACGUACAGUCCAGAUGGCGCUACUGCAUGGUUAGGCAUGGGAAAGGUAGCAACUAAAGAUGCAUUUGAUUGGAUAGCAACUGAACCUCCAAUACAUGUUGCUUCUUCUAUCAUUACAAGAUUACUCAAUGAUCUUUUAUCACAUGAGGUAUACAUAUAUAAUUUAAUUUAUUUAUUUACACUAAUAAUUGGAGUAUUUUAUAUCAUCACUAUGUUAACUUGUUACAUUAUAUCGAAGAUUUCACUUUGACAUCUAAUAGACCAUUUAAAUUUUCUUUUAAAAUUAUUUUUCUUUUCAAUAAAGAAAAUAUAUAUCCCUAUCUUCUUCUUUCAGAAUACCCUCACUUGCUAGUUGCUACCAUUUUCUAAUUUUGUAUCCCUAUCCCUAUCUUUGUAUCUAAUUUUGUUUUUUUAUUCAUAUUAGGAAGAACAAAAACGAGGAGAUGCACCUUCUGGUGUCGAAUGUUAUAUGAAAGAAUAUGGCGUUACAAAGGAAGAAGCACACAUAAAAGUAAGAAAUAUAAUAGAAAAUUCUUGGAAGGAUUUAAAUGAAGAAUACUUCAAAGUGAAUAAGACUAUUAUACCAAGGAAUUUGCUCAUGUGCAUAAUUAAUCUAACGAGUGUAAUUGAGUUCUUCUAUAAAGAUGAAGAUGCUUAUACUUUUUCCAAAAAUAAGAUGAAAGAUGUCAUUUAUAGGAUACUUAUUGAUCCUAUUAUAUAGACUGAUGACAACCAGAAAAGGAAGAGGAGGAAUAAGAAAAGUCAAAACUGAAUGACUUUCUGAAAUAAUUAUGUAUUAGUUAAGUAAUUUUUCGAAGACAUUCGUUCUAUAAGUGCUUUCUUUUUGUACCAUUUCUUGGAAAUUAAGAAGUUACUUUUUAUAUCUUUGUCUUCCACUGAGGCUGAAUUAUACAGAUUGAUACUUCUUGUAGAAAUAUAAUACUGUCAAAUUUUAGUGGUGGUAAAUGAAAGAAUAGAGAUGUCUUACAUUAAAUUAUAGUGGUGGUAAAUAGGCUGGUUGGAUCAAAUUUGGGCGGGUUGAAAAUGGGUCAAUACAAAAGGGGUAAUAAUUCAAUCCGUUCAUAUUUGAUGUGUAAAAAUGGAUUGGGUAACAAAUGGGUUGGGUAGAAUACUAGUUUACCCAUUUUUUCAUGAGUAAAUUGUACUUACUUAAGAAUUCAACAUGGAGAAAAUAUUUUAAUCUUUUUUAGAUGAGAAAUGUUGAAAAUACUUUAUUUAGUUAUACUGUACCAUAAAAGUAAAAAAAAUAUAACUUUUCAAUAUAAGAUAAAUUUAUGUAAUAACAAAGGGAAAAUAUUUUAAUUUUAAAGUAAAUAAAUAUUUACAUUUUAGGACUAAAAUAUACUUAAUGCACUUUAAGCAAUGUCAAUACUAAUACAUAAUUUGCUUAUAUUACACUAUUAUUUAUUAUCCAAUAUAAAAUUAAACAAAUAAAUUUUCUUAUUUUCUAGUUAUACAAAUUUUUUAUCUUCCCAAAUAGAAGAAAUUGAUUCAGCGCCGAGCUAUAACAGCAAAUAAAUAGGAGGCAAAUAACUAAUUGUUGUCCCUCUGCUUCAACCAAAACCUUAUAGAGUUUUCUGACUAUCUCUCAUGAAGACAUGAGAGAUUGUUGUCCCCCUUUGUCUCGAUGACUUCUAUAUAGACUCGAGGUCCAUAUGCAAACCAGCUCGUUGGAUCAAUUCAGAAUCCAAGGGAUUCCUAUUUUCAGCAAUGUUGUCAAAGUGUAGACUAUCUUCUAGAAUAGGAGAGCCUCUCGACUCCAAAAAGGCCUUUCUAUUGUAACUCCUGGAAAAAAAAAGACUUCCUAUUGUUACUAGAUAGCAUUAUUAUCAGGAUAAAAAAUCAGUUAGUGAACCUGCUAUUUUAUGUUUAGAAUGGCAAUUAUUGGUUUAGAUGUUCAAAAUCUGGGUAUAAAACACAUCUUUUAACUGAGGGAGUGCAUCGCUUUUCAACUAUGAUUCACAUUUAGGCAUUAAUCUGGAAGGAUGUGUUGGAAUUUUCUUCAGUACCGAAUAUGAUAGGACUUUUUUAUUCAAAGAAGACCAACACAAAAGCUAUCAGAAAAGUCCCAAUAACCUAAGCUAGUGAUAUAUAGUCUCAGAAUGACUCUAUUUGUAAAUUGAAAGAAUUACAUUGUAGGUAUUGGUUGCACCAGUUGUACUGUGGUUAGCUCUUUCGCUUGAAAUUUUUCGUACUCACCUUUAUCAUCCCUGUAGGCUGUUGGAUUUUUAUUUUUAACUUUCUAUGUAGUCAUUUAUACUCCAUCCCAGCUUGAAUCCACUGUUAUACAAAUUAUAUCCUAUUCCCAAGUUAGAGCUCUCCAAGGUCAAUCAGACAUUUAGAAUAACAAACUGGCAGAAAAAAAAAGAGUGACCGAUGAAAAUAGAUAUUCAAAGAUGAGCGCAGAACUUGUCAUAUAAAACUGACAAAUUAGAAUUAUCACGUCAGACAAAGUUGCAAGUAUCAGAUAGGAAUGAAUUGAGAAAAGGUCAACUGAGAUGGUUCGAACAUGUUCGGUUCCAACUCCAACAUAAACCUCCAAAUGCACUAAAAGAGACGUGUUACUAAAUCUUAAUGACAAGAAUAAGUUGUCUCAUAGGCCUACAGUCGCUCGAGCAAUGCAGACAUAGCUAAGAAUAAAACAUGAUGAGUGUAAUUGAUUUGUAAUGAAUACGACCUUUGUGGCAGAAAAAAAAAAACAAACAGGAUGAGUAUAAAUGAUCCAUAUCGGUGAUACCAACUGGCUGGGACUAAGUGUUAAUUGUUAUUGGUACACUUGAGAUUAAGGUGUAGUUGAUUGCUAAGUUGCUCGGGUCCGGGUGUUGGAAGGAAAGAAAUUCACGGAUUCUUUAGAGAAAAUUUUGAAUCCGUAAUUAGUAUUACGUACAAAUGCAUCUCCUUACUAUUUUUGGUGCUAUAUAGAUUUCUUGAGUUAAUUGCACAUUCAAAAGUGAUGUUGACCUGUAAAUAUCUUUAAAACACCUUCUGGUUGUGGACUUCUAAUGCAAAUAUCUUUUACUUAUAAAAAAACUAUGCCUAAAUUAUGAUUUCACCCUAGCUUUUGUGUUUUGAUUUCAGAAAUUUUUGUAUCUGUCUCGAAUUUCUCAAUUGAUUUUGGUCAAAGUACUCGAAAUCGACUGACCAUAUUCGGUAUAGAUCCCACACCCACACCCAUGUUGUGUCGAUACGAGUGCGGCACCGAAAGUGAAGAGUUCGUGCAACUUAGGUUGGUUGAUAUGUUGAAGAGCACAGGUAUUAAAGUGAGAGUUCAAGUUUUCGUAAUGUUUAAAUAGGAGUGAUUCAGGAGGUUCAUAAUCUAUAUAUAUACUUCUAAAAAAAUGUCUUAUAUAUAUCGUGUAUUUUUUUGCCGAGGGGGGUCGAGUGAACCCUCUCACUAUCCUCUAGAUCCGCCCAUUCUAGUCAUGUGUACAUUAAGCAUAACAUUGGAAUUUCAUCUGCAUUUCUAGCUAUGUUGUUCGGACUCUUCAAAACUGUAAUCUAGUGUGUGUUGAAUACUCCGAAAGUAGUAUAGUGCAUUUUGGAGAAGCUGAUACGGGUGCGGCAACAAUUUCGGAGAGUUCAAGCAACAUAUUUCUAGUCCCUAUUGGAUCCUCUUCUGCUUUAUCAGCCAUUCUUUGCAUAUGUCCAUCACUUCUUGCAACCUUUUCCAAGAUGAAAAUUUGUGAGUAUCCAUCCAUUCUAUUUCUUUCUACAUUGCUUUGACAUCUGAUUGUGAGCUAUGCAAAAUCUACUCAGAUAAUUUUCAAUAGACUGAGCAUUUAGAAUCACUAAUAUCACACAUUGAAAAUUAUCAAUCAUGUGAGGAAUAACUGAAAACAAAAAACUACAUCUAUCUUUCUAAUCAUAAUUAGUAAAGUUAAGUGUUAAAAAUACACUUAAAUUAUUACUCUCUCCGUUUCAAAAAAAGUGGUUUAGUUUGGAUUGGCACAGAGUUUAAAAAAAUAAAAAAGACUUUUGAAUCUUGUGGUCCUAAAUUAAAGUUUUGUCAAAUGUACAAAAUUGUUCUUUAAUCUUGUGGCCUUAAACAUGCUGAAAUUAAAAUGUUAUCAAAAAAAAAAAUAGGUCAUUAUUUUUUAAAUAGACAAAAAAAGAGGGAGUAUAUUUUUUUGUAGUUUCAUACGUCAACUAUUGAGAGUGUGAGAAAUACACCUAACAUAUCACUUAUUAGUUUGAGAAACAUAUCUCAAUGUUGACUGACAUGAAUUUUUUUGUUCAUGUUUUUUUUUGCUUACAUGUGUUUUUAAAAGCGAAUUGUCAAAAGUACGCCUAAAUCAGUUUUUUUUCCGAGUUUCUUACCCUAAAUUAUCAUUCAUAAAUUUGAGAAACACACCUGAAGUAAUUACACUAUCUUUUAAAAAAAAAAAAGGAACUUGUCACAUGAAAAAAAAAAUACUCCCUCCAUCUAACAAUAGUUGUCCACUAUAUUAUUUUGGAAUGUCCAACAUUACUUGUUCACUUUAUGAAAUCAAUGAAUAAUUUUACUCUUAGUUCCUAUUUACCCUUAUCAUUAAUUAUAUUCAUAUCUUUAUUACAUUUUCAAGACAUUGAACUCUCUCCGUUCCUUUUUAUGUCAUCCUUACUAUAAAUAGUUGGUUCAUAACACUUGUCAUUUCAUAAAUCAAUGCAUAAAUUACAAUAUUCUUCCUAUUAUACCCUUGAUAGUUAAUUAGUUUGAAAAUAUAUAUUUGACCAACCUAGAAAAAUUAAUAAGUAAUUAAUGUUCAUUGUAAUUACUUCAUACAUUGAUUAAUUACUAAUCAGUUACUCUCACCAUUGCAUUACUCUAUAAAAUUUGAUUUUGAAAAAGAAAUAUCAACAAACAAAUUAAAAAUAAAGGAUGAAUAUAUUUAUCAUUUAUUGAAAAGUUGACUUAAAAAAACAUCAAAUAAGGGUAGAAUUGUAAACUUUCUUAAUUUUUUAAUGCAAGUGAAAUCUAAAAAGUGACAUAUAAAAAGGAACGAAGGGAGUAAUUAUUAUAUUUAAAGAGUGAUAUAGUAAAACUACCCUUCUAUCUAUAAUUUCUAAAGUGCAAAAUCAAUAAUGGACAACUAUUGUUGGACAGAGGAAGUACAUCAUAAUACUUAUUUGGCUUACUUUUCAUAAUUCAUAUUACAUAAAAUUACUAAGCAUGAAAGAAAAAAAUUCAUCUAACAUCCGGAGUGUUUUUGGAUACAAUCAAUAUAAUAAUGAAAGUUAACCAAAUUGCAUCUAAAAAUCUUCAAUAAAAAAAGAAUCUACACUUCUUAAACAUUCACUUUACAAUCUUCAAUUUCCCAUAUAUGAAAAGGGAUAAAAAUGAAUAUAUUUUUUCUCAUUUCAUCUCCAACUAACACCAUGAUAACUUCUCAAAUUUCUUCUUCAUUUCAACCCUUCUUGAAAAUGAACAACAACCCCCCAUCCACUAUCCCUUCCUCCACCAUGAAUCGUUUUCCACUUGAUAAUUCAUGUGAUGAUUUUGUUUCAAAAAAGAGAGAGAGUAAUACACACAUAUCAGAUAUUAUUUGAGGUGCGUUUUUUUAAAUUUAUAAGUGAUAGUUUAGAUGUGUUUCUCACAUUUUCAGUAGUUUAAUAUGUUAGGUACGUUUUAGACACUUCACUUUUUAAAUUUUGAAUUUUUUUACAGUUUCAUGUAGAUAUCAUUUAUUUUUAAAAAAAAGGAGUGUAACACACACACCGUCACUUAUUACAUGAGGUGUGUUUUUCAAAUGUAUGAGUGAUAGUUUAGGUGUGUUUCUCACACUUCUAGUAAUUUAGAUGAAACUCAAAAAAAGGAAAAAAAAUUUAGCUCAAAUAUGCCAUCCAACUUUGAGAAAAAGACUCAUUCUAUGUCAUCCAUUAAAAGUUUGUUUCAUCUAUGCAUGGAUAAGCCUUUUCUCAAACGCAAACAACAUAAAUGAACCAAAUAUUUAACUGAUGACAUAGAUAAGUCAUUUCUCAAAAUUUGAUGACAUAUUAAAGCUUUUUUCCAAAAGAAAUAUAACAAUUUAAAUAUAUUUUUGACACGACUAAUUUCCCCUUCCAAUUUUCUAACCUUUGGUUGUUCUCUAUCCCUUCUGACUGUUAUAUCAUUUACUUCUUGCAAUUUAUUUCAUUAUAUUUUCAUUAUCAGGGACAAAUAAUUUCGUCAUUUAUAAAUUAUAUUUCGUCACUAAAAAACUUGUGAGACGAAAAAUAAUUCGUCACUCAGUCGUCACUAAAUGCGUGUCUCUAAAAGUAUACAAAGACGAUUUAGUGCUUCGUCGCUAAAAGUAUUAUAUUAACUGCAAAAAGAAAAAUCGUCCCUAAAUGCUUUAACAUUUGUGACAAAUUUAUUUGUCGUAAAAAGUAUAUUUUUUUGUAGAUAAUAGUAUGUUUUGUCACUAAAAAUGUUAUUACUAUCGACAAAAUUAUAUCAUCGCUAAUUAUUUUACUUCAAUCAGUGACGAUAUCAAUUGUCUCUAAAGUUAUAUGCAUUUCGUAGUUGAACAAAAUCUAAUUUCGUCACUAAUGACUAUUUUAUAUACCAAAAAUUAUUUUGUUAUUAAAUGUAUUAAUUAGGGAAAAAAUUAUUAUUAUAAAAAGGAUAAUUUUCCUAUUAUCCUCCACCAUCUCAAAUUUAUUUUAAACUCCUCCCUAGAAGCUCCCACAUUAUGCUUUCUUGGGGAUUCGAACUCACAACCUUAAGGUUGGAAGUGAAGAGUGCUUACCAUCCGAUCAACUCUCUCUUGUCUCUCAUUUUUAAUUUAUUUUCUACUUCAUUCACUUUUUUCAAAUUUAACUUUUGUAGAUAUAAUAUAUUAUAUGAUUAUUUAUACACAUACACAAGUGCGUUAAUUUUACCACCCACAAUUCAUUCAAAUGUAGAUUAUAUUUUAAUUAAACUGUUAUAAUUUUUAACAUAUCUUUAAAUAUAUUCAGUACGAUUCUGUCAUUUUAUUCAGUUAUUUUUAUAAUUUUUAAAAAUUAUUUAGUACAUUUAUAAAUUUAUAUAAAAUUAAACUUUCGAUUUUAUUUAAAAAAUUGAAUAAUCGGGUUUCAAUUCGGUCCGUAAAUCAAUUGUUUUGAAAAAAAAACAUCGAUACCCAUAACUAUAAUACUUCAUCAUAAUAUAUUUGAAAUCCUAGGUUGUUGAAUCCUUUCAUUUUUUAGUUUAUUUCGAUUUUCACACUGAUGGAAAAGGUUAAUAGAAACUCAUGAAAUAUUUCGCACCUUUGCAAAGUCUAAGUUUGUAAGUCGAUGUUAUCUCUGUAUAAUUGAUCUAUGUGCGUUUGCUUUUUUAGUUUAUUUCGAUUUUCACACUGAUGGAAAAGGUUAAUAGAAACUCAUGAAAUAUUUCGCACCUUUGCAAAGUCUAAGUUUGUAAGUCGAUGUUAUCUCUGUAUAAUUGAUCUAUGUGCGUUUGCGGAAUUACUAUUAAAUAUCUACAUAUUUUUAGACAGAAGCAAAUAGAUCGACUUAGUCUAUGCAGUUUACCAAUCACAAAUCAAUAGACAUGCACCAAAAUUAGCACCAAGACUAGAGAAAUUAUUUUUUAAAAUCGUCUUUAUCGAUGAAAGUGUGUCAAAUAAAAAACAAAAGUGUUAAACCAACAAAUAUUAGUGAUCUAGUGGCAGAACCGUACCCCACUGACGAUACUUAUAACCUGGAUUGUAUUUUUGAAAUGAUGCAUUUUAUAAUUGUGUUAUUUAAGAAAAUUCAUGAAUUGAACUUUUUCAUUUUUACAAAAUGGACCGAAUUCGUUGGUUUUAAUAUUUUCCCUCGCCAAUUAAUGAAAGGACUAUGUCUAUUUCUUAUGAAGCACUUAUAUUAUUCUUUUUGUAAGCUGUCACUUGUAAUUAUGAACAAUUGUAGCAAAAAAUAAAUUGUAUUUAGCUAUGAAUUUUUUUCGUAGCAAAUAGUUGAAUUAUUCACUACAAAUUUUAAGUCGUCGCUAUUUAACACCUUACAUAUAUUGUGACAAGUUUUUUGUUGUCACUAAAUCACAAAUUGAUUAGAGACAAUAAAAUCUUUGUCACCAAUUAUUUAUUCUAUUAGUGACAAAAAUAAAUAUCAUAAUUAAAGCUAAAUUCUUAUAGCUAAAACUUAUAAUAUUUAACUACGAACUCUAAUUUGUCGAUAUUGUAACAAUAUAUUUUUUUAGAUGAAAUUUUUUUGGAUCCAAAAAUCAAUAGAUUUUUAGACAAAAAAUAUUUUUUCAUGAAUUAGAUACAUUAUUAGUGACGAAAUAACGUGCCACCGAUAACUUUAAAUUCGUGACUAACACUACUUAACAAAUGGCGCCAAUUAAUUUUUUGGUGGGAAACUUUAGUAGGCGAAACUUUGCUACGGAUUUAUAUGUUUAGUCACUAAAAGUAUGUGUCUCAUAUAUUUAAGCACGAAAAGUAAAUUUUGUGUCAUUAAAAGCGAACAAUUAGUGACAAAUUUGAUGUCGUAGCUAAUAAUUUCGUAGCUAUAUAUCAUAUUUGUUGUAGUGAUUAAUUAUUCUGGGAUUAGUUAUCCUAGGAUAACUUAUCCCACCAUGUAUAUGGGAUAACUUAUCCCAUCACUAUGGUAUAAAUGGUGGGAUAAGUUAUCCCAAACAUGACAACCAAACAAGACACCAAAUUUAUCCCGAGACUAUUUUUUUAUCCCAAGACUAUUUAUUCUUAUCCCUCACACCAAACGACUCCGUUUUCUAUCAUAUAUUUUUAUUACAAAAUUCAUGCAUCAACUAUCCAUGGUCUUCUUUGUCUUCCUAAAUUAUCACUCUCUUUGUAUUUAAACACACUCCAAUGUUGAGUUGAUGAAAUAUUUGUUUCCACUCAAUAAUAAGCGUGUGCAAGGUGUGUUUUAAUACAAAGAAAGUGAUAGUUAAGGUAUGAUAUUUAUAAAAAAUGUGAUAAUUUAAGUAUAGAUAAAUAGAACAAUGAAUAAUUAAGGUAUGAAACUCGAAAAAAAUAUAUCGACCAUUAGUGAAUAUGCACUUCUUACUAUGAAGUUUUGUGAAUAUAAAUAGAUGACUACUAUAUGCAAGCUAAGCGUGAUAGAAUAAAUUAAAUCAGCAAACUCAUAGACAAAUGCCACCUUUGAAAAUUGGUCUUAGUAAUGGUAGAAAAUACUCCCAUUUGAUUUUUGACCAUCCAUGUCAAUAAAAAUAAUAUUUAAAAAAAAUAUAAAAUCACACAUGAAAGUGAUGGUGAAAUUACUCUCUUUAUUUCAUUUUUACUUGUGACAGUUUGACUUAACACACUCAUUAAAAAAAUAAUUAUUGAUAUAGAUAUUUUAUCAAACUAUCCAUAUUAAAAAAUGAUGUCUUGGAAAAUAAGUAUUAGAUGUUGAGGAUAAAACAUGAAAAAAUAAAUUGUAUUUUCUUAAUAUGUCAAAAGUGACAAGUAAAAAUCAAAAUCUAUUUUAGGAAUAAGUGACAGUAAAAGUGAAUGGAUGGAGUAUAAGACCACAUAAUACAAUUAAAAAAUAAAAUGAAGAAAAUAAAAAAAAUUCAGGUUGAGGCGCAGAUAUCUCGUUCUCUUUAUGGAGAUUCAAGACCAUUGCAAUAAAUGUUUUUCAUCGGUUGGUCCAACAGUAUUCCUCUUUACUUGUCCCCUCCAGAAUACAACAGCUUAAGUAUAACUCACAACAAACUCUGGCCAAGACUUUAAUUGAAAGCUCCACAAAAAGAACACAUCUCUUCAAUUAAUACGAACUCUUUUUUUUUUUGACUAAUUUUUAUGCAUUCUUUAUUUUCUUGUACUAAAAAACAAUGAAAGACCACUACUAUUUAUAGUUAAGAAAUUCUUCCUUACAAUGAGUAAGAAGACAACAGAGUACUCCCUCUGUCCCUAAUUACUUGUCCAUUUUUCCUUUUAUAGUUGUCCCUUAUUACUUGUCCAUUUUGAUAAAUCAAGAAAAGACAAUUUUUUUUUACCUAUUAUACCCUCAAUUAAUUACUUUGAAAAAGGUAGAACUUUUUGAAAAUCUUAAAUUUUUAAUUCAUCCACUUCAUAAUUAAUAGGGGUAAAAUGGUAAACUCACUAUGUCAAUAAUUGUUUUCUUAAUAGGUGUGUCAAUUUAAAAGUGGACAAGUAAUUAGGGACAUAGGAAAUAGUAAAUAAGGAUGAUAAAUGAUUUAGAGGUUACAUAAGUUAUUCUUUUCCAUCAAGUAAUGAUUAAUUAAGCCCAACAAACAAAAGAUGAAAUGCACCAUAAAGGAAAAAUAGUAUACCCUCCAUCUCAUAUUAGAUAGUUACUUUCUAUUUUACACUAUAAUUAAGAAAUUAUUAAUAGAGUAAUUAACUUUACUAUUUUACCCUUUGUUCAUAUUAAUUAGCUUCUUGAAAAAAAUAGGAAAUUUUGAAUCUUCAAAAUUUGUUUAUACUUCCGAAGGUCAUAUUAAUUGUAAGGGUAAAAUGGGAAAACCCUGAUUAAUUUUAUCAUGAUUUAGUAAAUGAUCAAGUAAUACUGACAAAUAUUUUAAAUAAAAAUGUACAUCUAAGACAAUGCAUAUGAUGCAUAUUUUUUAUUAAUAUUUAAAUAUUGCUAAAAAUCAACAAAAGUGAUAUGUUAGUAGAAAAGAAUAGGGUUCAGAGGAGACUGAAGAGGUCACAAGUUACCACUACUAUAUAAGUGGUUGACAAAUCAAUCAUCAGAGGUGAAUUAUAUUAAGUUUUAAGGAUUUUGUGGUCUUUAUAGACGACGAGAAUAGUUUAGAUUUUCAAAAUUCACAGAGAAUAAAUUAAAAUUAUCUCUAAUUUUUAAAUUUUGAAUGGAUAGAAGUUGAGAUCUUAAUCUGAUUCAUCUAUAAUAGUGGUAUUUGAAUAUAUUACUGUGAUACAAGAAAUCGUGAUUCAUGUUAUUUGCUAAUGAUAUUAAAGUUAUGGAGAAGCACACUAGAGAGUAAUAUUUAAGAAAGAAUAUGUAGAAGAAGUAAUAUUGACUAUAUAUAAAUUGCAAGUUUAGUCAGCACACGAACAAUAAAGCUAAUGUGACGUACGAUAAAUACAAAUAUUCUAAUAUUUAAUUGCAUGAUUGAAAUAAAUAAAAAACAUUUUAUCUAGGUAGUUAGGUGUUAUUUGAAUAAAAGAAUGAAAAUUAAAGACCGAGUCCACUUGCCUAAUUAUAUAAAGUCAUUGUUUUUAUUUCAUCAUCUGGUGUUCAAAACUCAUACUAGAGCUCUAACUAAAUUUGAAUCACGUACUGUAGGACUUAUUCAGGGUGACACUCCCAACAUAAUUUUCUCCAAAUUCAAGGCUCGAACUCGAAAUAUCUGGGUAAUGAUGGAGCAAUCCCAUCAAGGCAUGGUUUAUUCCCAACAAAGCUGGAAAGUGAUCAUUUUGUGUAACAAAUUGCCAUAUUAUAUAAUAACCUAUUGCCCAAUUGCCUUUUUGUCAACUUAUGAUGAAAAUGUUGCAUUACCAAUUUUGUUAUUUAAUUUUCAUUUUCUGAUACAUAUAAAAAGAGCAAAACUUGACAAUUUCAAGUUUGACAUUGUCUACUCUCCAGCUUAUUGCUUAGUAGUAUGAUUUAUAGAUUGAUCAGAUAAAAUUAUUAGUCUAGAAAAGUUUUUCCAUAUACAUAAAAUAAAGAUGUAGAGUUUAGUAAUUUUAGGAGGAAUUUGAAGUAUUUUAGAGUUUUAUAAAUGGAAGACCAUUUAGGAUGAACUCAAAGAUUUUUCAAGAUAAAUCUAAAGAAUCAUAUGGGACUUUUUGAUCUUAGUCUUAUAAAUUUUAUCAUAGAUGACUUAAUUUAGUUUUCUUUUACAGAUGCAAAAAAUAAAUCACAGUAUAAUCGCAAUAAUUGUAGUUUUAAAUUUUUUAUUUUUUUCAUUCACAUUUUUUGUUUUAUUUCUCAUAUUUUUACUUUAAAAAUGAAAGAAAAAUAAAAAAUUCAAAUAAUGAUAAGAGAAUGGAUCUAUAAGGGAGAUAUUUAAAAUUUAAAUUAGUCAUUGAAUUAAAGAAGUAAAUAAAUCAUAUAUGAGAAAGAUCAAGUAUACUCUAAACUCUGCUAGACGGAUCAUAUAUAUCUAUAUAUAAUUUUUUAAAAAUAAAAAAUCAAAAAAUAAAUUCAAAAUCAAUGUUUUUUCAUUUUCAUUAGAUGAAAAAUGUAUAUGUGAGUCACUUUUAUAAUGGUAAUAUAUAUGAAUAACUUUUAUAACGAAGAAUAUAUCAACUUUAAAUCAUAAAAUUGAAGGGUAUAACGUACGAUUUUUCUAUUACUCCCUACGUCUAUCGUUAUUUGUCCAAUAUACUAAAAAUAGUUGUCCAACUUUACUUAUUCAGAAAAACUAAGAGAUAAUUAUCAAUUUAUGUCUAUUUUACCUUUCCUUUCUAUUAAAUACUAUUUAUUUUUUAAUAUUUAAAUAAUUUAUAAUUAAUAAAAAUAAUAUAACAAAACUACUAAUCUAUUUGUGGAGUUCUUCUUAAGAAAUAUAUCAAAUUAAUAAUUAUUUUCAAAAAUAAAAUCUGAGUAUGACCGGUAAACGUUAUUUCUACUAGCUAUUUCUGGCACUUCAUUAUCUUUUCUAAGUUUCAUAUAAACAAAAGUUUCACUUAAAAAGUUCCAACAUAUCUAAAACAAAUAACACACACACAAAAAGGCUUUAAUACUGGUUGAAAAUAGUUCAAACCUGAUCCAAAAAUCCCAUUGAUAGGUCAAUAUGAUGAAACUAUCUAUCCAUGGGAAACAAUAAUGCUAAAAAUGAACAAUGUUUUUAUUUUAUUUUAUAUAUGAAACAGAAAUGGUAAUAAAAUGAGAUAUGGGCAUAGUUCAAUGAUGAGAGUGAUGUUCAACUAAUAAAAAACAGAGAUGAUAAGAAAAUGACAAAAAAAAUACAACUGAUAUAAACUGUCAAUUAAUGUAAUAAAUGUUGUAAAUCAUUUUGGUGGUUAAAUGGAUAACCAUAACUCCUUGGUUAAUUUCCCUCCUUUAUGAGUAGUAAUAUUGUUGAUAAUGUGGUCAAAUGGAUGACCAUAACUCCUAGGUUAAUUUCAUCCUUUAUUGGUAGUAAUGUUGUUGAUAAUAUGGUUAAUUGAAUGACCAUAACUCCUAGGUUUAUUUCCUCCUUAAUGGAUAGUAAUUCUCAAGGUUUAAUGUAAUGUUUAUGACACCAUUUGGUAUUUCUCAAUGUAAUCCUAUAAAUAGUGGUGUUGAAAAUAAUGUUGAAGACACUUGAAAGAAAGAAUAUUAGUUUAUAUUGUUCCUCUUGUCUUAUAGUCUUCUUCUCUUCCUCUUUAUAUUGUUCUUUUGUUCUUAAAUUUUAUAACACGUUAUUAGCACGAAACUCUAAUAUCAUUUCAAUUUUUCCAAGUUAAGCUUCUGGUAUGUCUUCAUAUACUUAAUUCUCAUUAUUAAUCACUCUAAUAUAAUAUACUACAUAUUAUGAAAUGGUUAGGUGUUAAACAGUGUGUGUAUAUUUUUGGUAGUUAAACAAUGGAAUAUAUAUAAGUCCAAAAAGUUUAUGUUCUCGCCUAAUCAUCAAGUGAAUUAUGCUAUUUUAAAUUAGUUAAAUUUUAAUUUUGUCUAGCAAUUUUGCUAGAAAUUAUUUAAGUUAUAUGUUAGGCAGAAUGUUCAUUUAAAUUGCUCGGAAGUUUGAUACUAACACAUUAAUUUACUAAUUGAUGUUACUUUGUACAAUAACAUGUGUCACGUUAUUAUCAUGGAUAAAAAAAAAGUUUUAUUAAUUACUUAUGUACUCACUAUUUAUUUUAGUCUAAUUUAAUUAUUUUCUAUGAUAGUUUUAUCAUGUCGAAUUUAUCAAAGCUUGAGUUCGUGGCAUUUGACAUUUCUGGAAAUAAUUACUUGUCAUGGGUACUCGACGCUGGAAUUCACCUUGACGCUAAAGGUCUUGGUGCUACUAUUACCAAUGGUAAUACGACGUCGAGUCAAGACAAAGCAAAGGCAAUGAUUUUCCUUCGUCAUCAUCUGGAUGAAGGAUUGAAGGUUGAAUACCUUACGGUGAAAGAUCCACUUGAAUUGUGGACUGGUUUGAAGGAAAGGUAUGACCACCUUAAGGUAACGGUAUUGCCAAUGGCUCGUUAUGAAUGGAUUCACUUACGGUUACAAGAUUUUAAAACUAUAUGUGAAUAUAAUUCUGCUAUAUACAAAAUUGCUUCCCAAUUGAAAUUAUGUGGGGAAGAUAUAAAAGAUGAGGAUAUGUUGGAAAAGACUCUCACAACUUUUCAUGCCUCAAAUUUGGUAUUACAGCAACAAUACUGUGAAAGGGGAUUCAAAAAGUAUUCUGAGUUGAUCUCCUGCCUUCUUGUGGCUGAGCAACAUAAUACUCUUUUAUUGAAAAACCAUGAGGCUCUUCCCACGGGAACUGCUCCGUUACCGGAAGCAAAUGAGGUUGAAGCACAUGGCCAGUCUGAGAGAAGACAAAAUAAAAACCAGGGUCAAAAUAAUGUGCGCGGACGUGGCAAUGGCAGGGGACGAUAUAAUAAUCGUCGUGGUGGUGGUCGCCACAAAAGGGAGAACAAUAUGGGUUCUCAAAGCAAUCCUUCAAGAGGCAAUUGUCAUCGUUGUGGCAUGAAAGGGCAUUGGAAGAAUGAAUGCCGAGCAACUGAGCAUUUUGUUAGGCUUUAUCAAGAUUCCUUUAAAAGAAAAGGAAAUAAAAAUGGUACAUCUUCUUCUAAUGCGCGGGUGGAGUCACACUUGACUUAUAAAAAUGAUGCCGNNNNNNNNNNNNNNNNNNNNNNNNNNNNNNNNNNNNNNNNNNNNNNNNNNNNNNNNNNNNNNNNNNNNNNNNNNNNNNNNNNNNNNNNNNNNNNNNNNNNAUGAGCCUCCUCACAUUAGGUUUUCGAUAAAAAAAAAAUAAUGAGAUAAUUUACAACCACGCAAAUGUACAUAAUUUAUUAUAAAAAAAAAUAAUUUAACCAUUGAAAUAACACGAUUUAAAAUUAAUCAAUAUUAAUAAUAUUUAUCAAGAAUUUAUUGUACACGUAAUAAUAUAAUUUACUACCACACUAAUAUAUAUAACUUAUUUUAAAUGAAAAAAAUUAAUUUACUUUAAAAAAUUAUAAAUAAAUAUUGGAUUCGUACAUCACAUGAAUUUCCCCUUACUAGUUUAUUACAAUAUAAAGAAGUAGGCUGCCAAAGGUGGACCUUAUCUUUGUCAUUAAAAUAAUGGUAACUCAACUCUAUAAAUAGCCUAGAAUGAUGUAGCUCUUCUUGUACUCCACUAUAUUUUCCCUAGUAAGCAAUACUCUUGAUCCCUAGCUCAUUUAUAGUUCCAAAGGCAUGGGUCUAAAGUCCAAAUUGUGUGCCCAAAUAGAAGUGAAGGCUAAGAAUGAUGUGUUUCAUGAUGCCUUUAGGCACAAACCACAUCAUGUAUCCACCAUGUGCCCUGUCCAUAUACAAGGUUGUGAGUGUCUUGAAGGAGACUUUGGAACUGUUGGCUCCAAAAUUUGUUGGAAGUAUACCCAUGGUAAGCCCAUUUUUGUAAAAAUUAUUAAGAAUUUUGAUUUUUUUGAAAAAUUUACUGACAAAUUUAAGGUGUUUCAUUCGUUUAUAUAUUAAGCAUAUACUUAAUUAAGCAAGGAUGAGGACCAUGUUGCGCCGAGAUCAAACUUUAAGAGACAAACACUAUCGUCUCUUUAUUAAGAUCUAUCGUGUAUAAUUAUUAAGAAUGUUAAAAACCUUAGAAGAUCACUAUUAAUAUAGAUUAAUCUUUUAACGAUAGCAACAAACUUCAUACAAUUAUUUCUUUACAAUAUAUGUGCAAGUCCAUAAAAAAUUCUAACAGAUCAUUCGUUUAAUUUACUACAAGUGUAUAACUUGCCUUGUCAUUGUGUUAGUAAUUUGAAAUGACAAUCGUAUUAAUUUACUACUAUUUAUGAGUUUGAUGUACGUAACGAAAUUUUGUAUAAUCCAGAUGGGAAAGAGAAGUUUUCGAAGCAGAUAAUUGAAGCUAUAGAUGAAGAGAAAAAGAUAAUCACAUUCAAGGAAUUUGAAGGAGAUAUAGUGAAUGAAUAUGAGAAGUGGAAGGUAAGUCUCCAUGUUGAUGAAGAAGGUGUAAAGGAUUUAGUCGGUUGGACUAUGGAAUAUGAAAGGCCAAAUGAGAAUGUCCCUGAGCUAACAAAUUUGCUUCAAUUUUUCAUUGAUAUGACCAAAUCUAUUGAUGAUCACCAUGUCAACAAGCCAAAUUGAUAAUAUAAAUUAGAACUAUAUGAGUUUGUGCUUUAAUUAAAUAAACACUUGACAUUAUGUUAUAUAAUAUAAUAUAUAUAAUAUGAGAGAAUGUCAAGUAAUUUGUAUUUUUUUUCUUUUCUAAGUAAUAAUAAAGACAUUUUAGUUUUGCGCACACAUUUUCUAUAUGUUCUCACUCUACUUAAAGAGAAAUUUCAAUUUUGAAUUGGUUACUUGUGAUUAUAUUUUGGUAGUCUGAUGAAGUUGAGAAGAAAUGACAAAAUACAAAUUGAUUUUGGUUAAUUGUUGACAUAAUUGUAUUCGUCGAUGCAAAUUGUAUUCUUUAAUUGACAUAAUGUCAUCCUUUUUAGGUAAGAGAGUAACAAAAGUAAACAUUAAAGCUCUUGAGAAAAUGUUCCUGAUGAUGGAACUAGUUCACGACAUUUAGAAAUUCCUGACAAACUAUACUCCAACAUUUUUGCUAGAAGCACAUAGUAAGCCCGUCUAGCCUGGGGGCUUUGUACCCCUCACUCGUUAGUUCACUAAGAUUUCUUCUUCUAAGAAUGGUUGCAUCAAAGCUGAAUUGUCUUCAUGAGAGAUAACCAGAUGACUCCUCAUAAGUUGGUUCUCAUAGGCCUACAGUCGCUCGAGUCAAUGCAGACAUAGCUAAGAAUAAAACAUGAUGAGUGUAAUUGAUUUGUAAUGAAUACGACCUUUGUGGCAGAAAAAUAAACAAACAGGAUGAGUAUAAAUGAUCCAUAUCGGUGAUACCAACUGGCUGGGAUUAAGUGUUAAUUGUUAUUGGUACACUUGCUAGGUUGGGGAAAGCGGAAGUUUAGAGAAUUCCAACUUUCUAGAGCCCAUAGUUUACGGCAAAUUACUUAUACGUAUUUGAAUGAAGUGGGCCGAAUGAAGCAGAAUUGAUAGAGGAUUCGUAUCUCCUUCUCCAAUUUGGGAUUAAGGUGUAGUUGAUUGCUAAGUUGCUCGGACUCGGGUCCGGGUGUUGGAAGGAAAGAAAUUCACGGAUUCUGUAGAGCAAAUUUGAAUCCGUAAUUAGUAUUAAGUACAAAUGCAUCUCCUUACUAUUUUUUGGUGCAAUAUAGAUUUCUUGAGUUAAUUGCACAUUCAAAAGUGAUGUUGACCUGUAAAUAUCUUUAAAACACCUUCUGGUUGUGGACUUCUAAUGCAAAUAUCUUUUACUUAUAAAAAAACUAUGCCUAAAUUAUGAUUUCACCCUAGCUUUUGUGUUUUGAUUUCAGAAAUUUUUGUAUCUGUCUCGAAUUUCUCAAUUGAUUUUGGUCAAAGUACUCGAAAUCGACUGACCAUAUUCGGUAUAGAUCCCACACCCACACCCACACCCAUGUUGUGUUGAUACGAGUGCGGCACCGAAAGUGAAGAGGUCGUGCAACUUAGGAUGGUUGAUAUGUUGAAGGGCACAGGUAUUAAAGUGAGAGUUCAAGUUUUCGUAAUGUUUAAAUAGGAGUGAGUCAUAAGGUGAGAGAAGCUUACCUUCAGAAUAGUUUACACCACCUUUAAUGCAGAAGUGGAUGCAAUGGUCCCUUUUUGAGUAACUUUUCUUCUCUUUAAGGAAAAUCAAUGCUAUUAUAAGACAACCAAAAGUGGAUUGUGAGAUCUUAGAAUUAAACUGGGAAAAGGGAGUAGUAUUUUGUAUAUUGCAUGGGUCAUGAGGUCAAGUUCUUCUUGUCAACCAUCUAUAUACCAUAUAAAAUUCGUUUGAAUUUAAUGAUAGCUCUGGACAUUAUGAUAGUCCACUGAUGGUCAGAUUGAUAUUGGUAUUAUGAGCCAGAACAUUUUCUCCUAAGUUCUAUCAUUUGACUACGGUGUUUCAAGUUGGCCAAUAAAUACUAUGUGAUGCUGUCAUAAACCUUCCUUUCAUCAUCUUUUCUGAAUCUAUGGUUGUGAGAAACGCUAUAUUGAACAACUGGGAAGGAUCACUUGUUAGCAUAAAAACGCUGUACUUUUUGUAGUCGCCUCCUCUAUUAUGUCUUUCUUCAGUAUUUGGUUGCAUCCAGGUUUAGGAGAAUUAAGAUGAAUUUCCACCAAGAUGGGUGAAGAAUUCUGGGAGAAACCAUAUACUUAGCCCAGAUCGGUGAGGAAAUUAAUAAUCCUCUCAAUCGGGGAUGCAACUCCCAAAUACGGAAGAAAUAAGGAACUGAAAAUGCCUUCUUGAAAACUGUGGUAAUGGAAAUUCUGCAAUCUAGGAUCUAGAAAGCAAAAUAAUAGAGAUGAUUGUUAUUAGAAAUUAGAGUUCAUGCUAUGCAUUAAAGGUUACCUAUCUUCUUCAGUUAUUGCUUUCUUCGAGUUCAUGUUUACCCUUCUGAGUUAAAAAGUGUUUCACUUGAUAAAAAAUGCUAAAUUCGAUCAUAUCUGAUAUGGACAAAAUACUUAGAUGGACAGUGUCAGUUCUCAAUGAAACCUUACUGCAAGAGAUAUUCGUCCGGAUUAUGGUGGUAGUUUUAGACUGCUACUGUAGUGGACUUACGAACCUCUGUUUCUUUCUUUUGGCAGGAAGAGAAGGAACAAAAGAUCCGUGAAUUGACUGCCAAGUUAGAGAGUAUAAAUCAACAAUCGGAAGUUUAUCGUGCCAAUCUAUUAGCAGUUUUGAAAGACAUGGAGGAGGAGAAACUAAAGCUAUCUGUGAAAGUGCAAAAUGCACGGCUUAGCUUAAAGGAGUAAAUCCUUUCAUUCAUUUUUCUUGUUUCAAAUGAUUGUGAAUAGAGUAAAUCCUUUCAUUUAUUUUUCUUGUUUCAAAUGCUUGUGAAUUUAGUCCUCAUUUAUGAGAAGCAUGAAGAUGAAAUAUACAUGGCCAGAAUUCAGCUAGCAUAUUUUUCUUCACCUCCAGUGAUGUUGGCGGAUCUAGGAUUUUCAUUAAGGAGGGUUCGACACGAUGAAUUUUGAAGCCCUUCAACCAAUUAAUCAACCUUUAAUCUUAUGUUCUGG
rnacentral:lncRNA from 1 species